rnacentral:lncRNA from 1 species
UCUUCUACAUACACAACCUUCCCUUCUCUGAUAUGAGGCAGGACAAACUCCAAGAAUUUUCCGUAUAGAUGAUAGUAAUCAGCUACAAUAAAACCUUGCAAACGGACCCGCUUAUAUACGAUAUGUGCCAAAUUUGUCACACCUUCAGGUUGAGUAAGAUUGUACUGUGAGAUCAUUCCACACACAGGUAUGCGACCUUGUAAUCUCAUGUUCAAGAGUACGGCAUCAAGUGUCUUGCCACCGACGUUCUCAAAGUAAACAUCAAUGCCUUCUGGAAAGUGCCUGAUUCACAUAAAAUGAUAACCACAUGUCACUAGUGUGUCUCGUGUUGCUAAACUAUACUUUUUUAUGCCAAUAAACAUAAACUGACCUUUUCAAUGUUGCAUUGAGGUCUUGCUCUUCUUUGUAGUUAAUGGCUUCAUCGUAUCCAAAUUUAUUCUUCAACAGAUCCACCUGGUUGCAAAAGAUAUAUUUUUAAGUAAAGGAAGGCCAUAUUUUUGCUUGUGAAUGAAAAGAAACAAAAAUGUAUUUCUGGGGUCCCAUUAAUCAUACUCUUUUCCAAGUUACAGAAAAACAUUCAUAUCCCAAAAAUUAAGAGCAAUGCAACUUUGCAAAUAUUAUUGCUGGUUCCAGGUACAAUUCUUUUUCAAUUUGGCUAAUUACGUAAACAUUUCUUCCAGAAUUGAAAUUUUGUAAUAAAAUUAGGCUAAUUCUAGUAUUUUGGUUACAUUACAGUAAUUUCGUAAUAUAGCUAGUGAGCAAAAACCUUGAUUGUUGAUAUUGUAGAUAAGACAAUUCUGUCGUGUCAGUGUAAGACAGUAAACACGCCUUCGAUCAGCGUCAGUGUAAUAAUUAGAGAAAAUAAAUUAAUUGAAUGUAAUCAUAUCUGCCGUGUCAGAGUAAGACACUGAACACGCCUCCAAUCAGAUUAUGCCGUGUCAUCAUUUAUGCAGGCACAUAUAACAACAACAAUCAGACAUAUACCUUCUCUUUACUUCCAGCACUUCCAACGACUUAGCAACCAUGCAAUUUAGCGAAUUGGCCAACAAGUUGACCAACUGCACCAGAGGCAGCUGAAACAAAAACAUUCUCUCCUUUCUUGGUAGCGCCUACUUCAAAGAAACCAGCAUAAGCAGUCAUUCCUGGCAUACCUGCACUCAAAGAAAAACACAUGUCAAAAAGGCAUUACAGAAUGACAGAAAACUACGCAACUAACAUUAAUAAUAAGCUUGCUUGCAUGUUAGAUACUAAACCAAGAAAUGAUUAUAAGAGAAGCGGAUAUAACAUAUAAAAAUGCAUUGAGCUAUCAUCAGUUUCAAAUAACUUAAGGCUGGUUUAAUUGGAUCUCCUCCAAACCAAAGCUACUCAACCAGAUAUUAAUGAAUAAAAGAUCAACUUCAGCCAUAUAGCCUUAAUUGAACAAGAGAAGACAAUUGAAAAAUAUUAAUUUAGGACCAAACAGCCAAACAGACAACCAAAUCUAUCACACAAUAGGUUUCUAUCCUGAUGGCUAACCCGUCUGCAACGAUACUAAACAGAGUAAAGACUCAUUCAUCACACGAAAACAUCAUAAUAACUUGAGGCUUGCAUAUCAUAUUGGCAUCAAUUCCAUUCUUCUCUAUAAACAUACAUACCUAGAAUUCCAGUAUAGUAGGAAAGAGGAACAUCAGUAUGCUCAAUUUUGAAAUGUAUUUGUGCCGCAGGGAUCAAGCUGUACUCUUCCCAAUUAGUUAUCCCCCACACUAUAUCACCUUCCUUAUAAUCUUUGUGUCCAGAUUCCACAACUUUAGACACACCAUAACCAGUUAACGGCUGCAAUUACAAAAAUCAUCAGUAACUGCACAAUACAACUUCAAUAUUGCAAUUAUUCUUUGAUUACACCAAAAUCAAAAUCGUAAACCUACUAAUAACAAAUUGACCCAUAUAAUGCAGAGACUAAUUAACACAUAAAAAACCCUACUUUAAGGCAUAAUUUGACAAAUACUGAAAAGGGUUUCACCCAUAAACUUACAGAUUGAGGAACAUAGGCACGUGGAUUGAUAGAAGCUUUUGGGUCACUCAUAAGAGUCCUCAUGUAAGGAUCACAAGACAAGUAAAGAUUUUUAACCAAUACAGUAUCAUUGGAACCUUCUGGAAGCUUAAGAUUUAUAGUACUAUCAACAAUGUUGAGGUCUGAUUCUUUAGGAAAACCAGACACAUAGUGUUUCAGAAGCACUUGCUUGUUCUUUACUUGUGCCAUUUUUUGUUAUUGUGAUUGUUGAAUCUGAUUAUUCAAUUUAUAACACAAAAAUCAAAGAAAAAAUGUUGGUAUGAAAUGUGAUGAUUAUGUCAUUUGUGAUCUUAUAUAAGAGAAAGUUUAAUUUAUGGGAAUGUAAUUAUAGUCCAAUAAACACGUAAGGUAAGAUAUCAAAGUGAAACUCGCAUCCGGCCUAAUAAACUGUACACCUUCACACUAGUUAGUUAUUGUCGGAAAAAACACAGCUGUUCACACUCGUUUAUCUCAAAAACAAUAAACCUGUUCACAUUUAAGGGACAAAAAUACAAUUGGUUCCUAGAACAUUCUAUAACGAUCUUAAAUGAUAAAUAAUUAUGAAAAUAAUAUGUAUAUUUCAUGUAUUAAAAAUCAAAAUAUUUGAUUUGUUUUAAGAAUAAUUGUUUAUUUUUUAAUGAUAAAAAUUAUUCGAGGACACUCGUUAGUGAGACCAAUAUAAAAAUGGUUACUUUUUUCAAUGUUAUAAAGAUUAUACUAUAAUUUUUUAAUAUAAACUUACUACUUUAAGCAUUUUUUUAAUAGAUAGAUGAAAUGACAAAGCUAUUAUAAACUCACACACACAAGUAGAGGUAUCGGAGUUCGAACCCCGGUCAUGACAUCCGUCCUAACAAUUUUGGCAUUUUGUUAGUUGAGUUAGGACUUCUGGAUACUAUUUUAAGCAUUUUAAUCUACGUCUUAUGAACAUUCGUUAACAUUCUCCAUAAAUAUUGUGUUCUAUGAGUUGCCUAGUUUUUUUUUUUUUUUUUGGGUACAAAAUUAUGCCUAUAUCAAUUCAUCCAUUAAACAUAAAUUUCAUCCAAUCCAUUAUAUAGCUUUAAUGGAUGAAUAUUCAUCCAAUCCAUGUAUAAAAAUAUAAUUCAUCCGUCCUUAAUUAUAAGACUAUUUAUAAAAAAAAAAUGAUUGUUUUUAAAUAUAAGAUCAUCUACAAAUAUCUAGAUACAUUAAUUACUCUUUUAGUAUCAGUAAAACAUAUUUUUUUAAUUAUUCUUCUGAACUUAGCUCAGUUGGUUGGAACAAUGCAUAAAAUAUGCAAGGUCCAUGAUUCAAACUCCAACCAUUAAAAAAAAUACUUUUAAUUGCAAAGCUUUUCUUCUAUCUUUAUAUAUAUAUAUAUUAAGGACUAUAACUAUAAGUAAAAAAUCAAUCCAAAUUUAUCAGUAAAACAAAUUUCUUAGAAUAUUACUCCAUCAAUUUCUUUUCUUUUGAUGUUUUAGCUCUUGACACAAGUUUUAAGGAGUAAUUAAAGUAUAUAAACAUUUGUGUAUUUUUUACUUAAAUGUCCUUAUUUAUCAUUAAAUUCACAUGUGAUAAACCAAAGGUCACAACUACUUUAAUAGUUUACUGUGUUUUCCAACAAGGGUAAACUUGAGAAAACAAUAACAAAUUCACUAAAACAUCAAAAGUUUUGGAAUAUAGUUGAAGUUCUAAAACAUCAAAAGAAAAGGAAUGGAGGGAGUAGUAAAAAUCAAUAUUAAUUUCAUUUAUACAUAAAUGAUAAUUUAGUAAUAGUUUCACACUUUUCAGAUAAAUUUAUCAUUCUAACAACUUUUUUUGAUAAGCAUAAUUUUCGUAAAAUACUCCCACCUUAGGACACGGAGAGAGUAUAAAAAUUCAAGGGAUAUUCCAAAUGUGGCCUAUCCAAAUAUGGCCAAUCAAUCCAACUGUGGCCAAUCAAGGAUGGUUUGGAAAAGAAGAGGAGACGUAUGAGUGAUCAACAGUCGUAUGGUCAACUUAUGAGUGAAAGCAUGGUUCACAAAGGGGAUUAUUUUAGGAAAAUGCUAACGAUUGUUUUUGAAUAUUGUUUAAAAACUUCAAAUAAUAAUAUUUAUUUAAAAAAAUAAAAUUUUAUAAAAAUAUGUGUAUUUAAUAUAUUAAAAUUUAAAGUGAUUAACUUUUCUAUAAAAUAAUAUUUAAAUUUAGCAUCUUUAAACGGUGUCAAUGAGAUAUUCGCUAACCAGAUCCAUUAUUUUUUUAUGGUAGGUCCUUGUUUGCAUUGUAGCACUGUCCUUUCUCUUCCUUCUUUUGGAUACCAUUAUUAGACAGUAGGGUACAAAUUUGAGUUUUGUCAUCCACUAAACUUCCCCAUCAUGAUUAUGAAAUAUGAGGACUAUUCACUAGAAUGAUACUGCUACCAGUUAUAAAAUCCAUCAUGUGUUAACAUACAAAACGUGCUAUUUUGAACCUUGAAACACUAACACACACAAAACACACAAACACGUCUCUAACACACACAUACAUACCCUAUUAAUAGUUUGAAAAAAUAUAAGUGAUUUAAUGUGUCUAUAUGUAUCAUUGUCAUGUUGCAGACAAUGGAGUCACCUUUAAUCUAAAAUUCAGUGCAACAUAAAUUUUGAUAGAAAUUAAUAUUAAAACAUUAAAGGUUAAAUUACUUCGGAGGUUUUUAAGUUAUUUAAUUGUAAUAAAUUGGUUUUAUGUUUUUUUUCAUACCACUUAGGUCAAGUUAAUUAAUUGCAACAAAUUGUUCCUUUAAGUUUUUCCGUACAAAUUAGAUCCUUUAAGUUACUUAAUUGCAACAAUUUGAGAGAUUUCAUAUUUUAAAAAUGUAAGUUAUUCGUGGUCUAAAAAUUACACUUAAAUAACUUAAAGGAGCUAAGUGUUACAAAAAAUAAUUAAAGAACUAACUUGUUCCAAUUAAAUAACUUAAAAGACGUAAACUGUUACGAUAUGUUGUGAUUCUCUCAUUAUUGUAUUUUAUAUUGUAAUUAGAGGUGGAAAUAGGUUAGGCCGAGCUAGGCUUUGCAAGGCCUGAGCCUGGCCUGCGGCCUGUCAUAGGCUUACUUUUUAGGUCUGAGUCUGGUCUUCUGAAGGCCUGAUACGACCUGCUAGUCUGUUUAAAAGCCUAUUUUAUAUGAACAUUUUUAAAUAGACUAGCGAACUAAUAUAUCAAUUAGAUUAAACUCUCUUUUGAUAAUCAAGAUGAGUUUUUAGGAAAUUUGAUUAUAUAUUGUAUCAUAUUUCAAUUCUAGUUUAUAAUAAUACAUUUAAAUAUGCAAAAAAUUAAUGUAUACUAAUAAGCUUAAAUUACUGAAAAAGUUAACACAUUUUUAUUUUAAUUCAAAGUACAAAAUAUAAUAUAAUAAUAAAUAAUAUUAUUCAUAUUUACUUAAAUAGGCCGGCCUAAUAGGCUUUUUGAAUGGCCUGUGGCCUGGCCUUUUAAGCUAAAUAGACUUCUAAAAAAGCCUAGGCCUUCUUUGUUUAAUAAAAAAGUCUGGCCUAACCUGUUGUAGGCUAGGCCGUAGGCCCCUGUAGGCUGGCCUGACCUAUUCCCAUCCCUAAUUGUAAAUAUGUUAGGAUUAAUUAGCCUUUAUGUGUAAUUAUUUUCUUAAUUACUUUGUCUUCAAAUUGCUUGUGUUAUAGACACAUUCAGAAAAUAUACAAAGUCUAUUCAGUUUAUAUCUUCCUGAGUUUCUACAUGGGAACAAACAUUUGCAGCCCGCUCCAGCACUGAAUUUGAAUAUCGUGCUCUUGCUGAUACUACUUUUAAGAUAUUGUGGCUUCGUUGGCUUCUUGCUGAUUUAGAGACAUCACAGUCUUCACCAACUGAUCUAUAUUGUGGCAAUCGUAGUGCAAUUCAAAUUGCCCACAAUGAUGUUUUCCAUGAGCGAACAAAAUAUAUUGAAAUUGAUUGUCACUUCAUUCGUCAGCAUCUCCUUCGUGAUGAACUUCAUAUUAUCUCCAUUGGCACUCUUGACCAGCCAGCAGAUUUGUUCACAAAAGCUCAGUCUCCUGGUCGCUUCCGCACUUUAGUUUCGAAACUCAAGUUGAUUACUGCUCCACCGACUUGAGUUUGAGGGGGGAUGUUAUGAUAUGUUGUGAUUCUCUCAUUAUUGUAUUUUAUAUUGUAAUUAUGUUAGGAUUAAUUAACCUUUACGUAUAAUUAUUUUCUUAAUUACUUUGUCUUUAAAUCGUAUAAACGAUACAAAAAAAAAAACUUGAAGGAUCAGUUUGUUAUAAUUAAAUAACGUACAUAACCUCAGAUGUAAUUUAGCCAACAUUAAACUAUAGUUAAUAACUUAUUGGUCGUACUUAAAUUAAAUAAAACUGAAUUAAGUUAUCAAUAUACUAUUAGAAGAAACAAUGAAGAAGCAUAUAAUAGAGAUCUUAUUUAUCAUUAGAUGUCACUGAAGUAAGCAAUUACAGUCAACACUAUGGUGAAGGAAGAUUAACACAAAAGGCCAUACAAAGAGGGCUUGUUAUUCAACACAAAAAAAUCAAAUGAAAGCAUCUGCAUUCAUUCACGAGCAACAACAAGCACUUGUUUGCCAACAUUUUUACCACUAAAUAUGCCAACCAAAGCUGCAGGACCUUUCUCAAGACCCUCAGCUAUGUCUUCCACAUACACAACCUUCCCUUCUCUGAUAUGAGGCAGGACGAAGUCUAAGAACUUGGCAUAUAGAUGAUAGUAAUCAACUACGACAAAACCUUGCAAACGAAUCCGCUUAUAUAUGAUAUGUGCCAAAUUUGUUACACCUUCAGGUUGAGUAAGAUUGUACUGUGAGAUCAUUCCACACACAGGUAUGCGACCAUGUAGUUUCAUGUUCAAGAGUACGGCAUCAAGUGUCUUGCCUCCAACGUUCUCAAAGUAAACGUCAAUUCCUUCUGGAAAGUGCCUGAUUUCCCCAAAUUGAUAUCCACCAGUUAGUUGAGUGUCUCGUGUUACAAACGCAGUAACUAUAUUUUUUUAUGUCAAACAUAUUGAACUAAAAUUUCUCCUGCAAAACUGUUCUAAACUGACCUUUUCAAUGCUGCAUCCAGGUCUUGUUCUUCUUUGUAGUUAAUGGCUUCAUCGUAUCCAAAUUUAUUCUUCAACAGAUCCACCUGGUUCCAGAAGAUAUACAUUAAAGUAAAAGGAAGGCAGAGUAUUUUUACUUAUCAAUAGCACGAAACAAAAAUUGAUUUCCGGGGACACAUUAAUCAUAUUGUUUUCCAAGUUACAACAAAACAUCCAUAUUCCAAAAAUUAAGAGAAGUGCAACUGUGCAACUACUAUUGUUGGUUCCUGCUACAAUUCUCUUCAAUUAGGCUAACUAUGUAAACAUUUCUAGAAUUGAAAUUUUUAAUAAUUACGCAAAUUCAAGUUAUUUUUGUAAUAUUACAGUACUUGUGUACAUAGGGCACUGACCGUCAACACUGGUAAUAAUUUGAGAAAAUAAAAUAAUUGAAUCACAUGUGUCGUGUCAGUGUCAGACUUCAUACAGGACUUCGAUUAAAAGUGUGGGUGCUAUAGAAUUCAAAACAGGAAAAGUUUCAACCGCAGAAUACUCAUUUAUGCAGGUACAUGUAACAACAAUAAUUAGAUAAAUACCUUCUCUUUACUUCCAGCACUUCCAACGACAUAGCAACCAUGCAAUUUAGCGAAUUGGCCAACAAGUUGACCAACUGCUCCAGAGGCAGCUGAAACAAAAACAUUCUCUCCUUUCUUGGGAGAGCCUACUUCAAAGAAACCAGAAUAAGCAGUCAUUCCUGGCAUACCUGUUUUCAGAGAAAACACAAAAUAAGUAAAAAAGGCAUGACAGAAUGACAUAAAACUACAAAACAAACAUUCAUAAGCUUAGUUGCAUACUAUAUACUAAGAUUCAUUCUGAAAACGCAUAAUGUAUACUCAGAAAAUAAACAUAAAAUUGCACAUAAAAACUACAAACGUUGAGUAGAUUAUACACACAAAUAGCUGUAGAGCAUACAAACACAUUAAGCGAUCAGUUCCAGAUAACUAUAAGACUGGUUUAAUAUUGAAUCUCCUUGAAACCAAAGCUAAUGAACAAGAGAAGAAAAUAGAAAAAUAUAAAUUUAGGACCAAACAGCCAGACAACCAACUCUCUCACACAAUAUGUCUAUUCCUUCCAUGAUGGCUAACCCCAUUGUAACAAUACUAAACAAAGUAAACUCUCAUUCAUCCCAUGAAAACAUCAUAACUUGACGCAUUCAUAUCAUACCGACAUCAAGUGCACUCUGUGCUAGAGCCUAGAAAUCAACAUAAAAAAUUGAAAUUGUGGAUCACAUACCAAGAAUUCCUGUAUAGUAGGAAAGAGGAACAUCAGUGUGCUCAAUUUUAAAAUGUAUUUGUGCUGCAGGGAUCAAGCUGUACUCUUCCCAAUUAGUUAUCCCCCACACGAUAUCACCUUCUUUAUAAUCUUUGUGUCCAGAUUCUAGAACUUUAGACACACCAUAACCAGUUAUCGGCUGCAAUUACAAAAAUCAUCAGUAGCUGCACAAUACAACCUCAAUAUUGCAAUUAUUCUUUGAUAAGUUUCAAUCUCAAGUCACCACUUACAACCACAAAGUUUAGGAGAUUUGAAGUACAAAUAAGAUUAACCACUUCUCAGUAUUCAGCACUUCAAAUUCUCAACAAAAAUAAAAAAUCUCACCAGACAAACAAAAUUUUACAUGGAAACUUUUUCCAAAACUAAUAAUAAUAUAAAUAUACAAAGUACAAUAAUCAUAACGAACAUACAAUUUAAUGCUAAAAAUAUUUCUUUAGCCCUUAGACACAAAUUAGUCACCAAAAUUCUCUUGAAGAAUCCGAAUUUGAAUCAUGACUAGAACAAUUCUUAUUCCAACUUUACUAAUCUCCUGGCCGGAGAAUUGCGAAUUACCAGUACCCCCUUCCACCAGGACCGGAGGGUUAAAACAACAAAUUAAUCACCAAAAAUAACAAUUUGCUAAGAAAUGAAUAAUAUAAAAAUCAAAAUUGAAAACCUACUAAUAACACAAAUUGACCCAUGUAAUGAAUAGACCAAUUUACACAUAAAAACCCCUACUUUAAGGCAUAAUUUGACAAAUACUGAAAAGGGUUUCACCCAUAAACUUACAGAUUGAGGAACUUAGGCACGUGGAUUGAUAGAAGCUUUUGGGUCACUCAUAAGAGUCCUCAUUUAAGGAUCACAAGACAAGUAAAGAUUUUUAACCAAUACAGUAUCAUUGGAACCUUCUGGAAGCUUAAGAUUUAUAGUACUAUCAACAAUGUUGAGGUCUGAUUCUUUAGGAAAACCAGACACAUAAUGUUUCAGAAGCACUUGCUGGUUCUUUACUUGAGCCAUUUUUGUUACUAGAUUGAUUUUUUUUAUUGUUGUUGAAUCUGAUUCUUGUAUUUAUAACAGAAAAAUGAAAGGAAAAAAAUGUAGGUGUGAAAUGUGAUUAAUGUGUGAUUGUGAUGUUAUUAGAGAAAAUUGUUAAAUAUAUAUGAGUGUUUCAUAUAUGGGAAUGUGACUGGUUGGUUAUAGUCCAAUAAAUACGUGAGAAAGAAAACUCCGAAUCCGGCCUUAUAAAUUGUACACAUUCACUUUUAGUUAUUAUCGAGAAAGAAAAGAAAAAAACAGCAGUUCACACUUGUUUGUCAAAAAUAAAAACUUGUUCCCAUUUGGGGUGAGUCAAAAUACAGAAACUCUUCAUAUUUAAGGGUAUCAUAAUGCUCGAGGAAUUAGUCUCCGUAAAUUACUCGUGGAUGAUACCUGAUUUACACCAAAAAGAGACUAUAUUAGUAACAUAUUUUCUUAAGAUAAAAGAAAUCAUAAUAAAGUAAAAUGAAGUGGUUUGGAUCUUAGGUGAUCAGUUUUAAAUGACAUUAAACCAAUACUCAAACCAAUAAAGGUAGCGUUUUGACUAGUUUUAUUCAGUUUUGAUCUUAAGAUAGAAGGAAAAAUCAAACCAAUUUAAUUGGGUUGAAUUGAAUCGUCAUGUUCAUUGAGUUAUUUGUUUUGUACUUAUACCCCUAAUUUUAUUUAAAAUGUCAUUGAAACAUGCAAUUACAAUCCACGUUAAAAUGCAGAAAGAUUGUUGCAAAAGGCUAUAUAAAGAGGGAUUGUCAUUCAACACAAAAAUCAAAUGAAAGCAUCAUCAUUUAGUUGCAAAUAGGGGUGACAAAAUUGAUAAAUUGAAUGGAUUUGAACUAAGAGAUUAAAACAAUUCAUUGAUCCAUUAAAAAUCCACUAAAAUUUGUUUAAAAUAAUCUAAUUCAAUUCAUCCACUGAACAUAAAAAUCAUCCAAUCCAUUUGCUUUAAUGGUUCCUGCUGGCUGCUACAUUUCUCCUCAUUUAGGCUAACUACGUAUACACUUCUUCCAUAACUGAAAUAUUGUAAGAUAUUUGGUGAACUAAGACCUUGAUUGUUGUUAUUGUAAUUAGGGAAAUUUAGAACCUAUGAAGUACCGACACAAACACAGGACGCGUCGAGAAAAAAACUGAUUGAAUGUAAUCACAUGUGAUGUGUCGGUGUUGGAGUAUACCAUACAUGUGAAUGCAGAAAAGUAGCAAAUUUUUUACCUAGAUUAAUCCAAGUUAAAAAUUGUGAGAUGACAAUGCAGAAAAGGAAGUAAAUGCUUUUAUUCUCUAACAAUAACACCAUAAAAGAUUACACAGCUCCCUGGAUUAUCAGGAACACAGUCUCAUCAUAUAUUCAUAGAUAUGAAAAAAGAUGACUACCAAGGUGGUAUAAAGACAGCUAAACUUUCUAGAAAAGAUUUGAAAAAAUUGACAACAUAACAAAACAUAGGAAAAACAAAUGCUUUCUAUUCACGAGCAACAACAACCACUUGUUUACCAACAUUGCGACCGCUAAAGAUGCCAACCAAGGCUGCAGGACCUUUCUCAAGACCCUCAGCUAUGUCUUCCACAUACACAACCCUACCUUCUCUUAUAUGAGGCAGGACAAACUCUAAGAAUUUGGUGUAUAGAUGAUAAUAAUUAGCUACGGUGAAACCUUGCAUACGAAUCCGCUUAUAUAUGAUAUGUGCCAAAUUUGUGACACCUUCAGGUUGAGUAAGAUUAUACUGUGAGAUCAUUCCACACACAGGUAUGCGGCCAUGGAGUUUCAUAUUCAAGAGUACAGCAUCAAGUGUCUUUCCCCCAACAUUCUCAAAGUAAAUGUCAAUGCCUUCUGGAAAGUACCUAAUUUACAUAAAUUGAUAUCCACCGGUUACUGGUAUGUCUCAUGUUUAUUGUAACACGGUAACUAUACUUUUCAUGUCAACAAACAUAUUGAACUAAAAAAUUUCGACUGCAUCACUUAUGUACUGACCUUUUUAAUGCUGCAUUGAGGUCAUGUUCUUCUUUGUAGUUAAUGGCUUCAUCGUAUCCAAAUUUAUUUUUUAACAUAUCCACCUGGUUGCAAAAGAUGUACAUUAAAGUAAAGGAAGACAAUAUUUUUGUUGGUCAAUAAAAAGAAACUAAAUGGAUUCUUGGUAAUCAUACUCGUUUUCAAGUUACAACUUACAACAAAUCAUUCCUAACCCAAGAAUUAAGAAACUAUUGUUUGUUUCUGCUGGCUGCUAAAAUUUUCUUCGAUUAGGCUAACUAUGUAACACUUGUAGAAUUGAAAUUUUCUAAUAUAUUUAGGCAAAUUCUAGUAAUUUUGCAAUGUAACAGUACUUUCGGAAUAUAAGUAUUGAGCAAAGACCUUGAUUGUUGUUAUUGUAAUUAGGGAAAUUCAAAACCUAUGAAGCACUCACACAGGACACGACACUACGACACUGACAAUGACACCGGUAAUAAUUUGAGAAAAUGAAUUAAUUGAAUGUAACUACACGUGUUAUGUUGGUGUCAGAUACCAGACAUGCCUUUGAUCAGAAGUGUGGGUGCUAGAGAAUUCAAAACAGUAUAACUUAAAAACCAGAAUAUUCAUCGUUUAUGCAGGAGGCAUAUGCACAUAUAACAACAUAAUCAGAUAAAUACCUUCUCUUUACUUCCAGCACUUCCAACAACAUAGCAACCAUGCAAUUUAGCAAAUUGUCCAACAAGUUGACCAACUGCACCAGAAGCAGCUGAAACAAAAACAUUCUCUCCUUUUUUCGGAGAGCCUACUUCAAAGAAACCAGCAUAAGCGGUCAUUCCUGGCAUACCUGUGCUCAAACAAAAACACAAAAUAUAUCAAAAAAGCAGAACAGAAUGGCAGUUCCUAAUAAGUAUAAUAUAUACUCAAAAAUAAAACAUAAAAUAGAAGAUAUCAUAACUAUAAGAUGGGAAGAUUAUAUAAAAGCAAUGAACUUUCAGUUCCUAAUAAGUACAUGACUCAUUCAAUAUUGGUUCUUUUCCAAACCAAAGCAGGCUGAACAAAAGAAGAAAACGGAAAAAGAAUGUAGGACCAAACAGCCAGCAGAUACUAAACAAAGAAAGGAGUCAUUUAGCACAUGAAAACAUCAUAACUUAAGGCCUUGAUAUCAUACUCACAUCAAGUGCAUUCUUGACUACAAAAUCAACGUAAUAAAUUGAAAUUGUUGAAUACAUACCAAGAAUUCCAGUAUAGUACGAAAGAGGAACAUCUGUGUGUUCAAUUUUGAAAAGUAUUUGAGCUGCAGGGAUCAAGCUGUACUCUUCCCAAUUAGUAAACCCCCACACUAAAUCACCUUCCUUAUAAUCUUUGUGUCCAGAUUCCACAACUUUAGACACACCACAGCCAGCAAUUGGCUGCAAUUAUGCAAAAAUCAUCGGUAGCUACACGACACAAUUUCAAUGUUGCAACUAUUCUUUGAUUAAUUUCAAUCUCGACUUAAAAAUAAAACUAAAAUUCUAAUCACAAGCUACACAUCAAGGGAUUUUAAGCCCAAAUCACAUAACCACUUUCCAAUAUCCAGCAAUUCCUUGAAAUUCCUAACAAGAAAAGAACUCAGGAAAUAAACAGAAUUUCAUAUGCAAUAUUUUUUGUGAGCUCUAGUUAAAGAUGGAUCAUUCAGGAAAACCCGAAUUCCGGUUUUGGCUAGAACAAUCCAUGAUCGCCUGAACAUUGGAAUACCAGGGGACUUCCCCCAAGAGCUAGAGAGUUGAAGACCAAAAUAACAACAACCAAACCUUAUCUUACUAAGUGGGGUCAGCUACAAGGAUCAAAUUAUGCCAUAAUGUUCUAUCAGAAAUCAUAUUUCGAUCAAACUGAUUAAUCUGUAGAUCUUGCUCAAUAGUUUGUCUUAUAAUUUUUCAAGGACUUCCUCUAGUGUUCAGACUAUCCUCAAUUUGAUAUACUCUCUUUCCUACAAAAUCUACAAGUCUUCUCUCUACAUAAUCAAACCACCUAAACCUAUUUUCCACCAUCUUUUCUACUUGAGGUGCUACCCCAAUUUUCUCUCUAAUUUGUCAUUUCUAAUCCUAUCUCAUCUAGUCUUACCACACAUCCAAUGCAACAUUCUCAUCCCGCUACACUUAUUUUUUUUCUCAUAUUGGUUCUUCACUGCCCAACUCUCUGUUCCAUACAACAUCGUCGGUCGUACCGCCGUCUCAUAAAAUUUUCGUAUCACAUAAAACACCAGAGACUUUUCUCCAUUUCAACCACAAUAUUUUUUUAAAAAUUAUUAAAAAAGCACAAUAAUCAAUAUAAACACACAAUUUCAUCCCAAACAUUAUCUAGUCAAUUAACACAAAUUAGUCACCAAAAACAAUAAUUUGCUAAGAAAUGGAUCAUAUAAAUAUCAAAACAGUAAACCAACUAACAAGUUGAUCCAUGCAAUACAGAGACUAAUUAACACAUUCAAAAAAGCUACUUUAAGGCUCAAUUUGACAUACGAUGAAAGGGUUUGACCCAGAAAAAUAAAUUGACUUACAGACUGAGGACUAUAGUUACGACGAUAGAAACAGUUUUCUGGGCUGUUCAUAAGAUUCCUCAUGUAAGGAUCACAAGACAAGUAGAGAUUUUUGAGCAGAAGAACAUCAUUGGAAGCUUGUGGAAGCUUGAGAGUUAUGGUACUGUCAAUGAUGUUCAUGUCUGAUUCUUUAGGAAAACCAGACACAUAGUGUUUCAGAAUUACUUGCUUGUUCUUUGCUUGCGCCAUUUUAGAUACUGGGUUGGAUUUUGAUCGUUGAAUAUUUUUUUGUUGACUAAAUUGUUGAAUUUGAAUUCAAUUUAUAUAACAACACAGAAUCAAAGAAAAAUUGAUCCCUUAAAAAACUCCUCACGAAGGCCGGCAAACACGGGAUAGUGUUCGCAGUGGACUUUCAUUUGUGAUCUUCUCACCCUAUUAUUUGGCGCUAUCUUAAGCAUUUUCAUUUGAUAAACUAACUUAACGGUCAUGCUAACCAUAGAAGCCAAAAGAAGGGACAAAAUCUCGAUGAUAUUGAAAUGGGAGAACCAAGUUUGGAAGGCCGUUCAUGUGAAAUUCGAGGCCGACUCUUUUAGUAAAAAUAGCUAUAAAAAAAAACUAUAAUGUUAGAACUUUGUAAUUUGUCUUCCUGAUUUUAGAGUUCGAAUUUAGAGUUCGAAUUCUGAAAAUGCAAUUUUAUACAAUAAAUAAUCCGCUUCCUUAACGUUCAAGGAGAUAUUUUCAAGUAAAAUGAUACUCCCUCCCCGUCUUUAUUAUAGGAAGAGAAAUUAUAUUUCUACAACUAACUUCUUGACAAUCCUCUCUUUCAUACUCACAUUAUGUUUUUAUUCUCUCUCUUCAUUUUUCUUUCUCCAUUGUUUUUGAUUAAUAGAAAGAGAGGAAAAAUAAGUUAUCAUGAUAGUUGUAGAAAAUAGUUGUUCAAAUAUCACUACUUUUAUAGGAAACAAAACCAAUACAUUCAUUAAUUAAUGUAACUUUUUGAAUAUUUUUACAAAUAUAUCCUCAUAAAAAAUUGUGAAACAUUAAAUACUCUCAAUAAUAUUUAAAAAAGGAACAUUAAAUGGAGGUAGAAAGUCUCUUAAGCAAUAACUACAUCUUAAAAUUUGUGACAUUUUCUUAUAAAUUGAACCAAUUUUUUUUUUUAAAUUUUUUUCUUAUAAUAAGGACGGGAGGGAGCAUCUAAUUGAGGAGGAGGAGCUGUCUAUAUUUUCAAGGAGUCAAUGGGUAAAGGAAACCACGAGAGGCGAACUUUCUAAUUGAAGAGAGUAAAGUUGCAUGUGGAUGGAAAUCAUUCCGUGUAGUACCUGCAAUCAAAUCCAAAGCUGUCUGGGAAUCCGAUUCCAAAGAUGAUAGACCUAUAACUAAGAUCCCAAACUAUUUGAAGACUUCUCCAUAUAGCUGAAAGUUUAGCCAAUAAAUUAGAAACUCUACCAUGAAAUCCGAAAAAACCAUAAAUUUAAAUACCGCUAUCGUUCCUGAAAAGACUUCCAAAACAUGCAUUGCUAAGAUUAAUAACAGAAAGUUUUACCGUUGUUUGACAUAAAGUUUGUUCUCCUACUGCUGAAAGAGGUCUCGACCUUGCAUCAAUCCUCGACAUCAAUGAAGUUGCUGCUUUACAUUACUCCUUCAAAGUCUUUGAUCACGUGGAGACUUAUUAAUAACAAUAAACUUUCCAUUGACGAGAACAUAAUAUUUAGAGGGUGCAUAUAAUCUCUAAAUGAUAAUAUUUGUGAUUCUCAUUUGGAAUCAUCUUUACAUCUUUUGUGACUGUCCUUAACGAUAUUAACCAUUAACUUUGAAAUAGUUCUUGUAAUUUUUUUUUUUUGUACAAUAGUUCUAGUAUCUUUAAAAGAUAACAUAAUAUACUCCAUUUAAAAUUUUAUAAUCUUGUCUUCUUUUAUCUCUUAAUUGGAGUUUAUAUGAAAAAAUUAUAUUAGUCAUUAAUUUUUUCAUGUGUAAUAUCAGCCAUUAGUUUUUUUUUUUUUUUGACAAAGUUAGCCAUUAGUUAAUUAGGUAAAUAUUGCUUAUAAAAAAAAUAGUUAGGUAGAGAUGAAGUCAAGAAAAAAAGUUAAAGCAUAUUCUCUAUUAAUUAUAUUGCUUUUUUCCUUCUUGAAUUCUAUUACUUUUUUCCUUCUUGAAGUCAACCUAGUUUAUGGAAGUCACUAUCAUAUAUAUAAAUGGAAGUAAAUAGUUUUUUUAAAAUGGAAGUCAAUAAUUUUUUUUGGAGAGAAAAUGGAAGUCAAUAAUGUUUAUGACUUGUUUAAGAUUAAUAUAUUUUUAAUUCUGAAAGUAUUACAAUAAUAUAAAUUGAAUUUUAUGAAUAUGUCUAAACCUUCAAAAUCACUCUAAAAUAGACGACUUUAACAACUGAUACAAUGAUUAAGAAAAUAAUUAUGAUACGAGUCUAUAAUUUUAAUCAAUGGUCUGCUAAAGAAAACUUAUUCUAUAUAUCUCAAGAUAUUAGUAUUUGUAAUUGUAUUUGAAUAUUUAAUUUUAAUCGUAGUUUUGAAGGGAAAGUGGUUGAAUAAAAAUUGGCAUACUAAGAUUUAAACUAGUCAUUGCAAACAUAUUAUCGAAGAACACUAUGAUGAAAUGAUAUAUAAAAUAUCUUUUUCAGUUUAAUCAUAUGUCAUUGAUUCAAAUUCAACCACCAAGUACGUACGGUCAUAUGUUCAUCUUGAGAAAAUAACCUCCGCAGGAUCAUAUCUAGUUCAUACAUUAAAAAAAAAGUAAUAAUUGCAAAUACAUUAUUACACUCUUUCCAUGGGAAAUUAAUAUUUCAACGGCCCCGUUACAUAAAAGGACAAUAUUUCAAAGACUUUGCAUGUAUACAUUUUUUUUCCUAUUACCUAAUUGCAAAUAUAUUCAAUGUAAUUAUUUUCUAUUUAACCCCUACACCACUACUCACAAAUAACCACAACAAUUCUCAAUCCUAAUUCAUAAGGGUAUUCGUUUUUCACUCUUGUGUCAAACAUGAAAAACCUAAUUGCUUGUAUUUUGAUUCUUGGUUUUUUUUCACCUUGUAUAUGUCAAAGGUGGAAUCUAGUUGGAACAAAAAAGAAUACGUUUAAUGUCAUGGAAUAUGGUGCUCGUGGUGAUGGCAAAUCUGAUGAUUCACAUGUAUAUAUAUGUAUUCCUCUCUUGUCCUUAAUUUAAUUUCUAUCAUCUAUACUUCAUGAGAAACUUUGAUCUUCUAUAAUUUGAGUGACUCUUAACAAUAAUUUUUUUCAAUUGAUUGUAGGCAUUUUUAAGUGCAUGGAAAAGUACAUGCGCAGCUAAAGGGGCAGCAACACUAGUUAUACCACCUCAAAAAAAAUUCUUGGUGACGAACUUAUUAUUCAGUGGUCCUUGCAAAGCCACAAGUAUUCACAUUAAGGUAUAGCUAUAUUCCUAAUGUCCAUUGUUUUGUGGGAUGGGGGGAUAUAUGUGCAUUUUUAAUGCAAAACAUUGUUUUCACGAUUUCAUUUUGAAAAGUUUAAAGACACGUUACCUGUGAUUUUUUUGUUGUUGUAAUAGGUCAAUUUGUAAAAAAGAGUAAAUUGGUCAAAAGAUAAUUUCAAUUUCCCAAAACUUGUUUUUUUGGAAGUUAAAAACUUUGACCUUUGAACUUUAUUUGAAAUUCCAGAAAGAUUAUUUUUUUUUUGAGAUUUUUUUAUUUUAUUUAAAAAGUUGAAUACUAUACCACUAUUUAUCACUUCUCAAUACAAUAUUUCGGCAAAAGUUAUUAUGCAUAAGUCAUUUCCUUAUGCACCCUGCAUAAACACUUCACAAUCAAUAGAUUUGAUCGCACUCUCACAAUCUGAUCGCACACACGCAGAAGCUCAUCGUAGCUCCGACGCCGGCGUGAUUCUCACCCUUGCUCGCCGCUCCGGCGUGAUUAAUCCGGCCAGGUUCACGGCGACGUGAUUUCACUGGCGAGGUUGCACAGAUUUCUCAAGCGAUUGCGACGUGAUUUUGUUGUGUUUGUGUUUCUUCGUCUUCUCUUCUUCACGUUCUCUAUCGCGGUUUCUUCGUUCACGAUCUCGGUUAUCACUGUCUCUUUCUCCUUCCCUAUCUCUUUAUCUGUCUCUAUCACGUUCUCUUUCUCUGUAACUGUCUCGAUCGGGACCACGGUCACGGUCUCGAUCCCGGCGGUCGGAAUCAGAGGGUUUGAGAUCAGAGGAGCGGUUGUUGUUAUUAGUGGAAAGGAGAAGUUCUUCUUGGUCGCGUUUGUGACCGGCGAGUUGAUUGUGGCGGCGUUCGAGUGCUUGAUUGAGGCUUGAAUCCGAGCUUUGGGUUUAGUUUAGGUGACCUUGGCACUAGCAGAUGGUGGUCGCCUCCUCUACCCGAGACUGAUUUCCGGCGGUUCUGUUUUCAAUUGCACCCUGCUGGAUCAAAGAAAACUAUUAAGUACAUCUAAUAGUUUUGGAGUACAACUCACAUAAACCAUUUCCACUCCAAAAUGGUUUUGGCAUAAUGGGGUGGGAUUUAUGCAGGAUGCAUAAGGAUUCCUUAUGCAUGAUAACCGCACCCCAAUAUUUCUGUAGUAAUUUACUUAAGUGAUGCAUCUGAGACACUAGUUAGCAUGAACAAUAAAAAAAAAAUUGAGAAAACAAAGUAUGGGGUAUUCCAACCAUCUCUAUUUGUAAAUUCAUGCAUUGUAGCAUCAAUCUGUAACGGACAUAUAUUUAUUUAUUAUUAAUUUAUUUUGCACUUGUAGAUUCAAGGGAAAAUAAUUGCACCUCCUAAGAAAUCAUGGAAAUCAGGGUUGGGUUGGAUUAGGAUCCAAUAUGUAAAUGGUCUCACAAUUGAUGGCACAGGAGGAGGAAUUGACGGCUAUGGUUCUACAUGGUGGUCAUGCAUAAGUUGCCUUCGACCUAUAGUAUGAUAUUCUACACUUUAUGCUAAUUAUCUUUUUUUUUUUAAAGAUUUUUUUAGGUGAGUUGGAUUUUAGGAUUCAUUAGGGUUUGAUAAAAAACUUUAAGGCUUAUAGAGCACAACAUGAGUAUUUAUAGAUCUUCCAUUUAAAUAGUGUUGAAGUUAACCAAUAUUUUACAAGAUUAUUGAAAUAAGAUAUUAAGCGAUUAUAUAUUAAUGCCCCAAUAACACUCUUUAACAUUUCCCUAUAUUAAUUUUAUGUUGAAUGGUACAGGUCUUGUCUUUCCAUUCUUGCAAUGAUCUUAGUGUUAGAAAACUAAAGAUCACCAAUAGCCCGGGAGGUCAUAUAGCCAUAAAUGGUUGCUACGGUGCAAAAUUCUCCAAUGUAGUAAUUGAUUCUCCUGCUCAUAGCCCCAACACUGAUGGAUUUGACAUUUCUGCUUCGAAGAAUAUCGUGAUAGAAGAUUCAACCAUUCAAGCAGGUAAUCAAAGUCAAAUUAUUUUUUCUUAUAUAUAAACACUAUCAAUUUAAUAUUUUAUAGAUGCAUCUAAAAAUGUAUUGUCAACCAAAGGGUUACUAUGCUACUAAGGAUGUUGAGUCAUCCAUAACGUUUUGAGUUUAACUUCCGUUGUUAGUGUGAAAUUAGUCUACACCACUUUUUUUAUUGCCAAAUCUCAAAUUUGUGCCUCUUAUUUUUUGUAAGAUGGUGUCAACUUGAAGGAGAAGAAAAAGCAAGAUGGGGUCUUUGAAUUUCAAAAUAUAAAAUUAAUUUCAAGGGUGAGGUUUCUUAUCGUUUGGGUUGUUAAAUCAUUAUACUGGAGAGUUGGUUUGAAUCUCAUAGGGCAAGGAAGUUAUGUUAUAGUUUUGUUGAUCGGUGUUCUAAACAUGUAAUGUGCAUUGAAAGACAUCUUUGAUUCAAAUAUUUUUAUUGGGUUCAAGUAUCCAUCAUAAUCUCUAUAACAUAUCUUUGUUUAUAAAAGAAGGCAGUACAAAUAUCAAAUCAAAAAUGCAUUUUAUAGCCAUGAUCAACAUACAUGUCCAAUUUUAAAAUGAAUUUUAUUUCUUAUAAAUAGGUGAUGAUUGUAUUGCCCUCAAUGGUGGUUCUUCUUACAUCAAUGUUACCCGUGUUUUUUGUGGACCCGGCCAUGGAAUAAGGUUAUGCAAUAUAAUAAUUGAAUUAUAGUUUAUUCUAUUCCAUUUUAUAGCUCAUAUGCAAAUAAGAAAAGCAAGGAUAUGAAAUUUAUUUAUCUUAUGUUAUACUGAUAUGAUAUUUAUCUUAUUUUUAGAUAAGCACUAUGAUAUUAUUAUGAUUUAAUUAUAUUUUAGAAACUCAUGAAAAAUGUGUGAAUUAAUCAGCAUUGGCAGCCUUGGUAAACAUAAUUCUCAUGAAAUAGUUGAAGAAGUUUAUGUACGGAACUGCAGCUUCAUUGAUACUACAAAUGGAGCAAGAAUCAAGACAUUUCCUGUGAGUAAUUACUACUAUAGUUUGUGGUGGGAAAUUACAACAUAUGAUCACAUUUGCUAACUAUAAUUCUACUUCACCUUUUCUUUAGCAAAUGUAAGUAGAAAUUAGUAAAUUAUAACUAUGUAAAUAAUUAUAUAUUACUAUUUUUCUAAUAGAGAUAAUAUCAUAUAUGAAAGCAAAAUAGAAGGGGCACUUUCACUGCACACAUAAAAAGUAUCGUCAAUUAAAUAUAUUCAAUUUUUUUUGAUAAUUUUUUUCCUUAUAUUUAAGACCGAAGUAUACAAAUAUUCAAAGAUUUUUCUUAUAAACUACUUUCAUGAGGAGAGUUUGAGCACCAAUUUCUUAACACACGCAUACUUGUAAAAAAAAAGAUAGCAUUGUUUCACAACAUUCAAAUCAAUCGUAACUUAGUGAGGUUUUUCUAUUUGCAGGGUGGAUCGGGAUAUGCAAGGAAGAUUAUUUUUGAGCAAAUCCAACUUAAAAAUGUUUACAAUCCAAUAAUUAUAGACCAACACUAUGGUUCUCAAGUUGCAACGGUACACAUUAACUCUACAUUUAUAAUAUAUCUUGUCAUUUCAACUAUAUCUAUUUUUUUUCUUUCGAGAGCAACUAUAUGAUUUUUCUGUUUUUAUAUAAUUAUAUAUAAUAGUAAGUUAUGUUUUGAAUUUUGUGGAAUUUAAUAGAAUUCAGCCCUGCAAGUGAAUGAUGUGACAUAUCGUGGAUUUAACGGAACUUGUGCCGGUGAUAUUGCUAUUGAUUUGGAUUGCAUGGAUUGUUUCAACAUUGUAUUGGAUCAAAUUAACAUUGUCUCUUCUCAAAAGAGAAAUAAGGUUUCUGCUAUUUGCAAAAAUUUCCAUGGAAAAAUUGAUGAUUCCGUUGUUCCAAAGGUCUCUUGCAAAUAAAAAUAAUCUGUUAUCGGUCUCCAUACAAUAUAAUCUUUAUCACAGUUAUAUAAUUUAUUAAUUUUCAAAUAAGUGUUGUAAAAUUUAUAAGUUGCACUAGAGGACAAGGUUAUGAAUGUCUCUGUUAGCUUGUCUCCGAAUAAAAUCUUGAAUGAAACUAGCACUAGAGGACAAUAAAUCCCCGUACCUAGCUCAUUCUCAUACAAACAAUUAUUUUUACUGCAUUCACAACUAUCUGACAAUCACUUUUAAAGAAAACUUGACUUAAGCCACGGUCUAGACCAAUUUUAAAGGCUGGUUGUAAAGCAGUGACUUGUCAAAAUUGGUCUUAAAUAGGAGUAACUCUUUAGCAUGCACUAUGAUUUUAAGGAAACAGUUCAAAGCAAACUGAACUGGUAUUUCAAAAUGGUGCACUGUUUCAUUUAAAAAAAAAUAAAAUAGGAGUAACUCUUUAUAACUAUGAUUGUACAAAAAAAAACAGGAGUAACUCUUUAGCACUAUGAUUUUGUUCAAAGCAUACUGUAUGAGCUUGUCAUGAUUAUGAUUUGUACCACAUAUAUUCUUGAAUCAUAUCCAAACCCAGGGGGAGGGUGCCAUGUUGUGUUUGGGGGGUGGGGAUAUGACAGAAGCAUACUUGUUACCAAGAAGAAAUUGUUCACUGCUAAAAAAUUUCAUUUCAAAAGGAAAAUAGGAAAAAUGUUUAGAGAGGGUGACUUAUGAAUCUUGAUCUGUCACCACUCCAUGUAGCAAUCACAACAUUGUAAAUAUGCACAAUAUGUAUAUCUUAGUACUAUUCUUUUGUGUUUAAAACUAGCAAUAUUUAUCCAGAAGUCUUAGCUCAACUGGCAAAAUCCCAAAAUUGUUAAGCCGGAUGCCAUAACUGGGGUUCGAAUCCCGGUACCUCCACUUAUGUGUGAGUUUAUAAUGACUUUACCAUUUCGUCUAUCUACCAAAAAACUAGCAAUACUUAACCACAUUUUCUUAAGAUAUCUCAAUUACAUCCACAACAUAUUGCAACCAAGAAAGCCAAAAAUUUCAACUUUCAAAUAUAUCAUUAUAUUCACGGAGUACUACACUCUUCCUCCAAAACAAUCAAAAUAAAGAAGUACAAUCAUAAAAAAGAAUAUCAAGAGUUUAGGGUUAAAGGAUGUAUCUAAUCAUAUAUUUAUUCAAUUACUUCCAUAUUCCUCAGUGAUUCAAGGUAUUUCCUAGCAUCAGAGUGAGAGGGGAGAUCUUGUUUGCUCCCUACGGUGUACCCCUGUUCUCUUCACCCUCAUAUUCCUACACAUUAGAUGAAGGUGACAUACCCAAACUCCCACCUUCAUGCAUGGCACAUCACUCCACCUCCACUUAGGGAUGAAUCUAACAAAAACAUUAAUAAGGGAAAGUAAAAAACACACUUAGAAGAACAUAAACUCACUUAUAUAUGAUACACAAAAAUAGAAAGAGAUGAGCAUGCCAUGUUAUCAUGAGUUAGUCAUUUGAACAAGGAAGUUUUCUAUUGAACCUAAGUCAAGCUUCUCAACAUCUGUUGCAGCUUUGGACAACGUUUCAUUUCGAGCAACAAAAGCUAAUUAUGGUGAGUUAUGUAUGUUCAAUUUUGUUUAUUUAUUUAUCUAAAAAGGGUCUAUGGUGUUGGAAGAUGCAUGUGGAUCAGAGGAAAUUGUGGACGUUUCAGGUAUUAGUGGCGAGAUAUGGACAUGAAGGAGGUCACGUUAAGGAGGGAGGAUGUGGUCAACUUGGUGGAAAGAGUUGAUGGGAAUUGGAAGAGGUGUGGGGUUAGGUAGUUGGUUUGACGAUAAUAUGGUGCAGAUGGUGGGGCAAACACCCCUUUUUUUUUUUGUGUGUGGAAGGAUCGGUGGUUAAGUAGCCUUUUAUUUGUUAGAUAUAGACGUCUUUUUUAUUUGACAAAGAAUCGUCUGCGCCAGUGGCUAAGAUGUAGGGUGAGGUGUUAGAGAAGAUGCUUGGAAUUGGCAAAGUUGGUUACUAGCUUGGGAGGAGGAGCAUGUGCGGGGAGUGAUGUGAGUUGUUGUCUAACAUUUUUUUUCCCGCAUGAUGGUAUGGGAGAAAAAUGGGAUUGGGAUCUUGAUCUAGCAAAGGUUACACAAUAAGCGGUGUGUAUCACCUAUUGUCAAAUAUGGAGCAACAUGGUCGAUUUGACAUAUAUGAUAUUAUUUGGCACAAAGUAACCCCUUUAAAGGUUUCCUUGCUUGUUUGGUGUUUGUUAUGCAAUCAGUUACCGACGAAGGACAAUUUGAUCCGACGAAGAGUUGAAGUCUUUUUUAAACAUAAGUCUAUAUAUUUUGACAAUAAAAAUUAGAAAGACAUUUUUCAUGAACUUUUUUACAAUAUAUUUUUAAAAUAUUUGUUGAAAAAUAUAAGUCUUGAUGGAAAAAUAUUUUUCUUUCAUCAAUACAGUUGAAAAAUAUAAGUCUUGACUAUGGAAAAAUAUUUUUCGUUCAUCAAUACAAUCAAUGCUAUACUUUAUAGCAGAGGUAAGAAUUUGUAAAAAAAAAAAAUACAAAAGGGUAAGAAAAUAAGUGUUUGCCUGACCGACUACUAAAUUGAAAAGUUUUAUUUUUUAAGGACUCAAUUGAAAAGUUUGCUGAAAAGUUUAGUGUAGAUUUAAUGAAUGUUAUUUUGUAAAUUAUUUAUCUUGCAGUCGAACUCUGAAUUACUAAAGUUUUUUUUUAGAAAUAUGAGAAUUGACAAAAAAAAAAAGCGUAACAUGUUGAAGGAGACGUUUUUAAUCUUAAUAAAUUUAUGCUUUCAAAAAAUCUUAAUAACAUAAUCAAUGUUCUAAAAAAUAAAUUUAGAAAAUUUCCUCUUAGAAAAAGGAAUUAUAAAAUUUUAUAUUAAUUUUCUUUCAAUUUUUUUUUUAUAUAAUUUUCAUAGUUUGCGCAUUGCUAGAAUAAAAGGUCGGCUAUCUGCAACGACUAAUCUCUUUGCUUCCUGAUCCCAACCAUAAGUUUUUUUUUUGUUUUGAAGAAACCAAAAUAAAUUAUAUUACUAUGAACAACGUAAUUGUUGCAGCAACAGGCGUGUCAUAACAAUCACGGAAAGAGCAACAUCCUGUCAAAUUACAACAUAGUCAAUCGAUGUCAUACAUGAAAGCGGGCUCGACCACCAAUCAUGUGUACCAAAAUUAAAAACCACAUUACUAGCUUUCAACCACCACAAGGUAUGAGAUUUUACUUUAUCUAACAAAAGUGGCAUAGAACUUUGACGUUUUCUAAAUAACCUGUCAUUCCGUUCAUUCCAUAAAACCCAAACGCACUGCAGCCAAAUCAAAUGAAAUAAGGAUCGACGGGAUUUCAAGCCUCCUGCAUAUUCAAUAAAUUGCAUAAAAUGAUCUGAAAUAGCAAGAGAAUCUACUCCUUCGACACCAAGCCAAGCCCGCACCAUAGGCCACAAUGUGCCGAAAAUUGGGCAAGACAAAAACAAAUGAGUCACAUCUUCAACAUGCCCACACCCUGUAACACAAAACCGAGCCUCCAAAAGUAGAAUUCCACGAUCUACCAAAUUGUAUUUUGUAGGUAAGCGAUCCCUCAAUAGCCGCCAAGCAAGGAUUGAAACUUUGGUAGGUUGGUUUUAUUUUUAGUAACUAUGAUAUUGGUGCAAAGUUUUCACCGUCGUAUAAUAGUGAUUAAUUUUCGUCGAGGUGCAUGUGUGAUAUAUAAGGUGGAUUCUCUUAUUCAACCAUAUUUUAUUUCAAACGCAAGAGCCGAAAAUCAUAAGUUGACUGCUUUUUUUUUUUUUUUUGGAAAACUUAAACACUUAAAUUUCAUAUUUAUUUCUCUCUAGAAAGAAAAAAAAAAGUUUUCUAUAUCUGAGGGUAUAUUGACUGAAUAGAAAAUAUAGAAGCAAAUCCUCUCGAGAAAAAGCAAAUAUGAAACGGAAUAUUUUAUAAAAAAAGAAGAAGAUAGAAACGGAAUAUCACAUACAUGUAAACUAUGGGUCUAGUUUCUUAUUGAAAUUAUUUCCAAAUAAUAAUAAUUCAAAUAUUUCAUGUUUUUGUGAUUAGGCAUAUAUUUAAAGUAUUUACCCGUUUACAUCGUCAGAAAAGAAAAAAAAAGUAUUUGCCCGUUUACUGUUUUUUUAUUUAACCAUAGUCCCUUUUAUUUAAACCCCACACUACCCUUCACAAACCGUACACGAAAUCUUUUUCUCUUUUAAUUUCACUUAUCUAAUCAAAAUGCAAGGGUUCAUCACUUAUGCUUUGAUUUUUGGUUUUAUUUUACCUUGUCUAUCCACAAGAUUGAAUGUUGGUACUAAAAAUGCUAUUUAUAAUGUGAUGCAAUAUGGUGCGCGUGGUGAUGGCAAAACUGAUGAUUCACAAGUAUAUUUAUUUUUAAUGGUUACAUGAUUCACACGUAUAUGUUUUCAUAAAAAAUUUCUUCAUAAUUUUAAUUAAUAUCUAUCGUUUUCAUGAUAACCUUUUCGCUUCUAUUAUUUAAUCUUUAAAGUAUUUUUAUGAAAAGUUUAUGGUUUUGAUAGAAUAUGACUAUUGAAUGCAAUGUCCUCACCAACUUAACUAAGCUUAAGAGAACAAAUUGUGUCAUUUUUAUUAUUUGAUUUUUUUCUCUUCUUGCACAACUUGUCUCCAUGAGCUUAACUUAGUUGAUGAGAUAUUAAAUAAUAUUGCAAAUGCCGGAGUUCAAUCCCUCUGAAACCUAAUUUAUUUACCUUGAAUAAAUUAAAACAAUGACAACUCUAUUGAAAAUAUAUUUUUUUAACUCACUUUAUGAGAAUAUUAUGGUUUUUAUAGAUAUGGCUAUAAUUUUGUACUGUCCCUUAAUAUUCUUAAUUAUAUGUAUAUGUUAAAUUGUAGGCAUUUGUCAGUGCAUGGAGUAGUGCGUGUAAAGCAGCAGAGAUGUCAACACUGGUCAUACCCGUAGGAAAAACAUUUAUGGUGUCGAAACUAAGUUUUAGCGGUCCUUGCACCAACAAAAAUAUUCUUAUUCAGGUAUUUAAUAUAUCUAACAUUCACUUUUAAGACCUAGUACAAUAAACUUAUAAUCAUAUGUAUAAGUUUUAAUUGUAUUUUUAAUUGCGGCUUUUAAAAUAUUUAAAGAAAUUAUAUUUGUUUUGUAUUUUUGCCAUCUAUCUUUUUGUAGCUUGAAGGGAAAAUAGUUGCACCUUCAAAGGUAGGUUGGAAAGCUCAGUCAUAUUGGAUUACCGUGCAAUCUGUAGAAGGACUCACAAUUGAAGGUAAUGGUCGAGGAGUACUCGAUGGAGAUGGUUCGACUUGGUGGCAAUGCAAAUCAUGUGCUCGACCUGGGGUAUGUAUCAUCUUAUACAAUUGACAUCCCCCUACACACACCAAAAAAAAGGUGAUUGAACGACCAAAUUAAUAUUUUUAUUGAUGCUACAGGUCUUCUUGUUUCAUUCAUGCAAGGGUCUCAAUGUUAGUAAUCUGAGUAUCACUAAUAGUCCACGUUCCCAUGUAGCUGUUAAUAUGUGCAAUGGUGCAACAUUUUCUAAUAUAUCUAUUAAUUCACCUGGUACUAGCCCCAAUACUGAUGGGUUUGACAUUGCUUUAUCCACUCAUAUUGUGAUACAUGAUUCCAACAUAAAAUCUGGUACGUCAUGUUUAUGUUAUCUUAAGAUAAACUUUUACUUUGUCUUAAAAAAAACGUCAUUUUAAAAAAGAGAGUCAAACAUAAUUUGUUAUGAAAUAGGAGAGAAUUUUUUAUUUUUUUAAAUAAAGUAGAACUAAACAUUAAUCUAAAUAAACGAUAAAAAUUAUUUUUUUACCAAAGAUUAUUACGCUCAAAAUAUUUAAAUAUUGCUUAAAUUUAAUUUGAGUUUCGUUGUUUUUAAUAAACAGGUGAUGAUUGUAUUGCAGUCAAUGGUGGUUCUACUUUUGUCAAUGCUAUAAGGAUUACUUGUGGACCUGGCCAUGGAAUAAGGUUUAUAAAAUUGUGUCUCUAAAGUUCGAUUUCAUAUAUAUUAAUAUUUAAAUCUUAUUUUUAACCUUAAUAUAAUUUUUUAUAGAUAAAUAUUUAUUGUUAGUAUGAUAUACUAGUAGCCAAAGUUUGAAUUCUUGACCUCCUCAAAUUUCUUUUGGAGUGUUAGUAGUGUUAAAUUUCAUAUUAUGUAUUUAUAUUUUUUCAUGAUUCUCAUAGAAAUAUGUAUCCUAUGAAUAAUCAGUGUUGGAAGCCUUGGUAAAAACGGAACUGAGGAUAAAGUUUCUGAUAUUCAUGUGCGAAAUUGCACAUUCAAUGAAACUCAAAAUGGAGCACGAAUCAAGACAAUUCCUGUGAGUAUAUGUAACAAGAUUAAAAAUAUGUUUAUACUUCGUAAAGAAAUAUGGAUUUUAAAGUUUCAUCUUUAUUAAUAAACAUAUUCAAUACUACCUAUAAUAUAUGUAUCAUGUAUGCGUUCCAAGCUUCAAUCUAAUCCAAACUAGGGCAUGAGUUUGUUCCAAGCUUCAAAUUUUACGUUCCAAUGGACCACACUCUUCGCAUGUCAUCAAUCGGUGAAAACUGAAACUCAAAUAAACCCAAUCCUAGAGAGAUUAACUUCCAAUUUCCUAUAUCUUUCCAAAGAAUGGAAAACUUCUUCUACAAGGCACACACCGUUAUUGGCAGCGGCAAAACUAUCCAUUUUGCGAAGGGGCCAAAUAUAAAUAAAUAAAAUGAAACAUAUUUUGAGUGUUGUUUAGACAAUUUUUAACGUUAACAAAACUUUGUUCAUAGUUGUUUAAAGGUUAAAUGCAUCUAAAGGUCCUUUAAGUUUUUUCGUUUUUCCCAAAGUCGUCCUUUAAGUUUCAAAAGUCCCAAAGUCGUCCUUUAAGUUUCAAAAGUCCUAAACAAGUCAUUUUAGUUUUUGAAUCGUUUCAAACAAGUCCUUUUAGAGGAUGAUGGUGAUGAUUUAGAUGAUAGCAACAAAGAGCAUUAUCCACCAUUUGUCAUGCCUAAAAAGAUGACUAAUUUUAAGUGGGUGUUUGGAGCCAGAUUUGGUACCAAAGAUGAGUUCAAGGAAGCAAUUACCAACUAUGAUAUCUACAAUAUGACUUGUUUGAAACGAUUCAAAAACUAAAAUGACUUGUUUGGGACUUUUGAAACUUAAAAAGGAUGACUUUUGAAAAAAUGAAAAACUUAAAUGAGUUUUAGAUGCAUUUGACCUUGUUUAAACUAUUAGAAGUGUCAAAAUAAAACAAAAUACAUCUAUCAAACAAGUAGAUGUCUUUGACUUUCUUAUUUUUACUAGUUUUUGAUAAAUAAAUUCAUUUGUGGUAACUAUAUAUAUAUAUAUAUAUAUAUAUAUAUAUAUAUAUAUAUNNNNNNNNNNNNNNNNNNNNNNNNNNNNNNNNNNNNNNNNNNNNNNNNNNNNNNNNNNNNNNNNNNNNNNNNNNNNNNNNNNNNNNNNNNNNNNNNNNNNNNNNNNNNNNNNNNNNNNNNNNNNNNNNNNNNNNNNNNNNNNNNNNNNNNNNNNNNNNNNNNNNNNNNNNNNNNNNNNNNNNNNNNNNNNNNNNNNNNNNNNNNNNNNNNNNNNNNNNNNNNNNNNNNNNNNNNNNNNNNNNNNNNNNNNNNNNNNNNNNNNNNNNNNNNNNNNNNNNNNNNNNNNNNNNNNNNNNNNNNNNNNNNNNNNNNNNNNNNNNNNNNNNNNNNNNNNNNNNNNNNNNNNNNNNNNNNNNNNNNNNNNNNNNNNNNNNNNNNNNNNNNNNNNNNNNNNNNNNNNNNNNNNNNNNNNNNNNNNNNNNNNNNNNNNNNNNNNNNNNNNNNNNNNNNNNNNNNNNNNNNNNNUUGGCUGGUUUUAUAUAUAAUUAUAAUAUUUAUGUGUUGAAAUUAUUAGGGUGCAAAUGUGUCGGUGAGUUCAGUGAAAUUUCGAGGAUUUACCGGAACUUCUGCUAGCGGCUUAGCUAUUCAGUUAAAUUGUAGCUCUUCUGGUUGUUAUGACAUUUUAUUGGAACAAAACAACAUUGUUUCUGCUCAACCAGAAAAGGCGGCUUCUUCUUUUUGUACAAAUGCCCAUGGAACUGCUAGAAAUACUGUUCCAAAUAUCCCUUGCUUAUCAAAUUAAUUGUUUUUUUUUUUUUGCUUCCAUGAAUGGAAAAAAAAAACAAUUAAAAAAGUGUAUUAUAAAUAAGUUGUAAUGCAAUUGAAAAACUCCUUAAUAAGAUCUUAGAGAGGCACAUCAUGUACGGUUAAAGGGUUAACGUUUUCUUAAUUUAAAUUGCAUCAUAAUAUAAUAUAUCUCAUUAAAAAUCUUAUCAGGAAAACUCAACGGGAUAAAACUAUGGUUAAGGAAAAAAAAAGUGCAGAACUUGUCUCCCCCUCAUAAAGAGAACGACGAGGUUUAAAUAAUCUUGGCUUAAAUAUGUAUUUCGACCCUGCAAUUAUGGGUCGUUUAAAAAUUGGUACAUGUAAUCGCUAAUCCUUGCAAACUACUCUUGCAUUGUUUAAUCAUUUAAAAUUUCGUCCCUAUUCCCAGUUAAUCACUGCCACAUCAUCAAAUUAGCAAAAUGGUAUGGAAAUUGACAAAAAUACCCCUGCUCCAUUGGCUCUUUCUUUCUGGAAAACGAACAAGGAGAGUUAGCUGCAAAAGACAAAUUUAAUAGUUUGUGUGUUUCACUAGUCCUGUCAAAUUUGAGUUUUUUCAUUACCACACCUAAGCACCAUGGCCACUGUUACCACCAUCUACAGCAUUAGCAUUAACAUUAUUAGCAUUCCAAGCCAUCAUUCUAUGCAAUCUACCACUAUCAUGAUCCUCUUGCUGCUGUUGUUGCUCUGUUAUGCCUUUCCCGUCGUGUUUGAAUAUUUGAGGAAGUAUAACUUAUACUUCAAUCCUUUUCUGUUAACAUUGCUAUUUAGAAAACUUAAUUGUUUUUCUCAAAGAAAACUUAAUUGUUUACAUGAACUUUGAACAACAUUCAUAUCUCAUACAACCCAGAAAUUGAACAAGACAGAAAAGCACGGCGGAGACGGCACCUGAAUCAACAAGACAACGACGAAAAUUAGCAUCACGUUUAGAAAGACGAGCGAGUAGCAAGCAGAAAGCCAAAAAUCAAGAGACUCAUCUCAUACAACCCAGAAUUCCAAAUCCACCAACAUUUGAUUCCAAGAGUUGCUUCAUCAUCCAAUGAACACAGAGAAACAAACAAACAACAUGAAAUCAUUCUGAACAAUUCAUUAUGAACACGAAUUGAAACAUUAUGAAUGUUCAAUUCAUUCUGAAUCGCAACACAAACGCCGGUUUUGGUGUAGAUUCGAAUUUGGAACCAUUUUUGGAAUCAACCGCAACACCGCCGUUUCAAUUGCUCUAUGAUUAGAAAAUGCAAAUAAAAAUAAAAGGAAAAGGAGAAGAGGCUGUGUACUGAGUGAUGGUUGGGGUUUGAAGAAUAAGAAGGAGAAGAGGACGAGGGUUUGAACAGUGCACGUAUGCAUUAUUCAAAGAAAGAAGAAGGAUGAUGAGUGUAUUUUUGUCCAUUCCCAUGCCAUUUUACUAAUUUGAUGAUGUGGCAGUCAUUAAGUGGGUCAAGGGACGAAAUUUUAAAUGAUUAAACUUUGUAAGGGUAAUUUGCCAGGAUUAACGAUUACAGGGACCAAUUUUUAAAUGACCCCUAAUUGCAGGGACGAAAUACAUAUUAAAGCCAAUAAUCUUUUAUAUACUAUUUACUCAAAAUCUUUACUUGACGGUGACUCUGUAGAAAGAUAUGAUCUAUCUCCAUAAUCUUUUUCAAAUUAACUGCUCUUGAUAUAUCUUCAUAUUGAGUUUGUGAAAGAACCUCCUUUUAAAAUUAGAAACCGCAAGAAAAAGUGCGAUCUAUUUUUAAAUUAAUUUGGAUGUCUUGCGUUUGGGUCAUCUGAAAGAAAAGAAAUAAUCGUAUUUUUGGGUUGAAGGAUUGGAUCACUUGAACCCCAUUUCUUUCUUCAUUUAUUUUGGUGAGUAGUGGUAUUUUUGGUUUAUACAUAAUUAAGGAUGCAGCAAUUUUUUUUUAACAACUAAGAAACAAACAUCAUGUUUUUGGAUUUUUAAAAUCUAUUUUCAAAAAAUAGUUUUUAGCAACCAAAGUUAUUAUUGGAUUGAGUCAUGACCAAGUUAUUCUCUUUAAGACGUUAUGUGACACUGUUCAACGUUGUGUAAGUAGACUUGCAACCACGACGUCUCUAAGAUAAAACACCUUAUCUACCAUUGUCUUAGAGUCGUACUACUAUGUAGGAUCCGUUCUAGAAAUACACUUUUAAUAUCAUAUUCAAACUACUCAAAUUUAACACUGAAACCACUCAAAUAUGGCAUGUUGACCACUAUACUAUGGUACUGCGACCAAUAACAUACGAUGCUACCACCAUUCAAAUCUCUAGCUUCUCCAACGACAGAAAUUAUCGAAAGGUACUAUGCUCUUAAGACGAUUCUUAAUUCCAAAGAGACAUUAUACCACAAAGGGACCAUGGUCUUAGUAUUUAUUUUUUUUAUUCUGAAAGGACAUAAAUUAUCGAAGGGACUAUGCUCCUAAAAGUAUUCUUAAUUCCGAAGGGACGUUAUAGAUCUCAAAUGGGUCUAUGAUCUUAAGAACAUUUUUAAUUUUAAAGAGAGAGAGAAAAGAAAGGGGAAGAAGUCCUGUGUGUGUGUGUAUUGUGAGUUAUACGAAGUCCUUUGUAACCAAAAUCAGCAAGACUUGGAUCCAUGAAUUUUGGAAAGUGGGGGCACCACAUAUAUAUAAAUUUGUAACAUUAGAUAAACAUAUACAUAUAUAUAUAUAUAUAUAUAUAUAUAUAUAUAUAUAUAUAUAUAUAUAUAUAUAUUAUUUUAUUUUUAAUAGUAUAAAUAUACAUCAUAAUUGUUCUCUACGAUUCUCCAUAUUUUAGAUACAUUGAAUGAUUUUCUCAUUUUCAAUACCAACAAAAAUAUCUCUCUCUAUAUAAGUAACUAAACAAUAAUUUAACCAUUCAAAGUGUGAUGUUGUGUCAAAAUGUGUGGGACAAUAAAAAAGUGUUGUGUGUUUUGUGUAGCCCAUUUAGUUAAAAUUUCAACUGUAACUAUAGUAUUACUAUAUUACUACUACCUAAAAAAAAUAUUCUCAAAAUUUAGUGCAGCCACAAGCGUACAGCUUGCAUCCGUCCAUGCUUGGGGAAGAAGUCAAGCUAAACUUCGGGAAGGAGAAACCAACUUCAUCAAGUUAGGGGCACAAGAAACUGAUGGAAAUUUGGGGAGUAAGACAAGGUUGAAGAACUAUUUUUAAAUCAAGUGACCCCUGAUGAUGAAAGUGGCAAUGUAUUUUUUUUUUUUUUUGACGUUAAAGAAAAAUUUAUUAACGAAAGUAUGACAAUAAAUCAAAAGUUAAGACCGUAGAAAUACAAGGUGGAGUCUCUUCGAUCCAUAUGUGAUCUAAAUUAUGAAAAACAUGUUUAGCUAAAUAAUGAGCAGCCUGGUUGGAUUCACGCCUAACAUGCAAAAAAUUUACUACGAAAAAAAAACUUUGAAAUUAACACAAUCUCCAAUAAUAGAGCCGACAUAGGUGGAAGAUCGUUGAUGAGCAUUCAGCGCCAAGACCACAUUAGAAGCAUCUGAUUCUACUAAAAGAUUCAGAAAAGACAUGUCUUUCACAAAUUUCAAACCCUUUUGCAUAGAUAAAACUUCUGCAACAUCUAAAUAUGGCAAUUAAUGAAAAGAUUUGCCAGCAACUAACACCAACUACAACACCGUCAUUAUCUCUCACCGCAACAUCAAUACCCAACUUACCCCCCUUUAUCAGACUUACUGCAUCAACAUUAAGUUUGUAGAAACCACUAAAAGAAUGUAGUGGCAAUGUCUUUAUGAUAAUAUAUUUUUGUAAGUCAAGGGACCAAUGUGGAUUAAAAUACAUAAAUUAAGGUACCAAAUUUGUCUAUUUUAAAGUUAAGGUAUCAAAACGAAUUUUUAAAAUAAGUUAAGAGACCAAAUUAAACUUUUGAAUAAGUUAAGGGUCCAUAGUGUUAUUUAAGCCUUUUUUUAAACAUAAGUCUAUAUAUUUCGAUAAUAAAAAUUAGAAAGACAUUUUUCAUUAAAUUUUUUACAAUAUAUUUUUUAAAUAUAUGUUGAAAAAUAGUAUAAGUCCUAUGAAAAGAUAUUUUUCAUUCAUCAAUACAGUCAAUACUAUACUUUAUUCCAGAGGUAAGAAUUUGUAAAAUAAAAUAAAAAGGGUAAGAAAAUAAGUGUUUGUCUGACCGACUACUAAAUUGAAAAGUUUACUGAAAAGUUUAGUGUAGAUUCAAUUAAUGCUAUUUUGUAAAUUUUUUUUCUCUCGAUCAAACUUUGAAUUAUAAAGGUUUUUUUUUUUAGAAACAUGAGAGUUGACACAAAAAAAAUUGUAAUAUGUUGAAGGAGACGAUUUUAAUCUUAAUAAAUUUAUCCUUUCAAAAUAUCUUAAUGAAUUUAUAACAUAAUCAAUGUUUUAAAAAAUAAAUUUAGAAAAAUUUUCUCUUAAAAAAAGGAAUUAUAAAAUUUUAUAUCAAUUUUCUUUUAAUAAAAUUUUUUAUAUUAAUUUUCAUAGUUUGCGCAUUGCUAGAGAAUAAAAAAAUUUAUAUUGUAGUUUGCGCAUUGCUAGAGUAAAAGUCCGGCUAUCCGCAUUGACUAAUCUCUUUGUUUCCUGACCCCAACCUUAAGCUAUGGUAGGUUGGUUUUAUUUUUAGUUACUAUGAUAUUGGUGCAAAUUUUUCACCGUCGUAUAAUAGUGUCUAAUCUUCAUCAAAGAACCUGUAUGAUAUAUAAGAUGUAUUCUCUCAUUCAACCAUAUUUUUUUCAAACGCAAGAGCCAAAAAUCAAACGUGGACCGCAUUUUUUUUUUCUUUUGUGGAAAAUUAAAUUUCAUAUUUAUUUCUCUCUUGAACAGAAAAAGUUUUCUAUAUCUGAUGGUAUAUUGACUGAAUAGAAAAUAUAGAAGCAAAUCCCCUCUAGAAAAAGAAAAUAUAAAAGCAAAUAUGAAAUGGAAUAUUUUAUAAGAAAAAGAAGAAGAUAGAAACGGAAUAUUACAUUACAUACAUGUAAUAAUGGGACAUAAACUAUGGGUCUUGUUUCUUAUUGAAUUUUUUUCCAAAUAAUAAUAAUUCAAAUAUUUGAUGCUUUUUUUUUUUUUUUUGGUCUAGUUUGGUGCUUUUGUUAUUAGGACAUAUAUUUAAAGUAUUUGCCCGUUUACUGUUAUUUUAACCCAAGUCCCCUUAUAUUCCUAAUAAAACAUCUUCCAUGUAAUUUUUUAUUUAAACCCCACGCUACUCUUCACAAACCAUGCAUCAUAGCGACAAGAAAUCUUUUUCUCUUUUAAUUUCACUUAUCUAAUCAACAUGCAAGGGUUUAUCACUUUUGCUUUGAUUUUUUGUUUUAUUUUACCUUGUCUAUCCACGAGAUCGAAUGUUGGAACUAAGAAUGCUAUUUAUAAUGUGAUGAAAUAUGGUGCACGUGGUGAUGGCAAAAUUGAUGAUUCACUGGUAUAUGUUUUUAUAAACUUUUUUCUUCUUCAUAAUUUUAAUUAGGGAAAUGUUAACUUGUGCCCUUAUGGCACAUGUUAAGAUUUUAUUAAUAGAAAUUAUGUCUCGAAAAUUGCAUUAAUUUAUUGCUCAAAAAAUCUAAUACUCCUUCCGUUUCAUAAUACUUGUCCAUUUUAAAGAAUAAUUUUGUUUCACAAUACUUGUCACUUUCAAGUUUCAAUGCAACAUUAAUUAUUGUCUUGUCAAUAAUACCCUUGCAUAUUUAUUGUAGAGAGAGAAAAAAAAUAAAAUGAAAUAAUAAAUGAUUAAGGGUAUUAUAGAAAACACACACAUAUUUUCAUCAAAAAUAACAAAAUUUAUUUGGUUUCUUGGUUAGUGCAAUUUCUCCAAAAUGGACAUGUAUUUUGAAACGGAGGAAGUAUUAAUUUUUUUCAAUUAAUACUUACCAUUACUGACAAGAAUUUAAUGCUUAACAUGUGUUCUAAGGGUACAAGUUAACAUGACCUUUUUAAUUAAUAUCUAUAAUUUUUAUGAUAAACUUUUCUCUUCUAUUAUUUAAUCUUUAAAUUCAAUAUCAUUAUGAAAAGUUUAUGGUUUUGAUAGAUUAAUUAUGACUAUUAGAUGCAAUGUCAGUCAUAAGAUUUUUGGAGUCCCAUGUGUAUCAAUAAAAUUGUGUUAUUGUUAUUGUCAAUAGCAUAGUGGUUAAAAACUCACAUUUUUUAAAAAAUAUUCUUAUUAUAUGUGAUGUUGAAUUGUAGGCAUUUGUCAGGGCAUGGAAUAGUGCGUGUAAAGCAGCAGAGAUGUCAACACUGGUUAUACCAGUAGGAAAAACAUUUAUGGUGUCGAAACUAAGUUUUAACGGUCCUUGCACCAACAAACAUAUUCUUAUUCAGGUAUUUAAUAUAUCUAACAUUCACUUUUAAGACCUAGUACAAUAAACUUAUAAUCAUUGUAUAAGUUUUAAUUGCGGCUUUUAAAAUGAUUAAAGAAAUUAUAUUUGUUUUGUAUUUUUGCCAUCUAUCUUUUUGUAGCUUGAAGGGAAAAUAGUUGCACCUUCUAAGGUACAUUGGAAAGCUCAGUCAUAUUGGAUUACCGUGCAAUCUGUAGAAGGACUCACAAUUAAUGGUCAUGGUCGAGGAGUACUCGAUGGAGAUGGUUCGACUUGGUGGCAAUGCAAAUCAUGUGAUCGACCUGGGGUAUGUAUCAUCUUAAACAAUUGACCGGGCGCGGUUAUGGUGCAUAACCUGCAUAAAUUUAGAAAUGGUUUCUGUGAGUUGUACUCCAAAACUAUUAGAUGUACUUAAUGGUUUCUAGCGGCCUGCAUAAAUCAUAGUAUAAAAUUAUGCCAAAACCAUUUUACUGUGGAAAGGUUUCUGUGAGUUGUACUCCAAAACCAUUUCUGAAUUUAUGAAGCCUUAUGCACCAUAACCGCAUCCCAAUUGACCCCUCACACACACCAAAAAAAAGGUGAUUGAACGACCAAAUUAAUAUUUUUAUUGAUGCUACAGGUCUUCUUGUUUCAUUCAUGCAAGGGUCUCAAUGUUAGUAAUCUGAGUAUCACUAAUAGUCCACGUUCCCAUGUAGCUGUUAAUAUGUGCAAUGGUGCAACAUUUUCUAAUAUAUCUAUUAAUUCACCUGGUACUAGCCCCAAUACUGAUGGGUUUGACAUUGCUUUAUCCACUCAUAUUGUGAUACAUGAUUCCAACAUAAAAUCUGGUACGUCAUGUUUAUGUUAUCUUAAGAUAAACUUUUACUUUGUCUUAAAAAAAUUACGGCAUUUCGAAAAAGAGAGUCAAACAUAAUUUGUUAUGAAAAAGGAAAGAAAUAUUUUAAAAAAAAUAAAAUAAAAUAGAACUAAACAUCAAUCUAAAUAAAGGAUAGAAAUUAUUAUUUAGCAAAGAUUAUUACACUCUAAAUAAACGAUAAAAAUUAUAUUUUAGAAAAGAUUAUUACGCUUAUAUUUUUUGAAUUUUGUGUAAAUUUCAUUUUAGUUUCGGUGUUUUUAAUAAACAGGUGAUGAUUGUAUUGCCAUCAAUGGUGGCUCCUCUUUUGUCAAUGCUACAAGGAUUACUUGUGGACCUGGCCAUGGAAUAAGGUUUAUAAAAUUGUGUCUCUAAAGUUCAAUUUCAUAUAUAUUAAUAUUAAAUCUUAUUUAUAACCUUAAUAUAAUUUUUAAUAGAUAAAUAUUUAUUGUUAGUAUGAUAUACUAGUAGCCAAAGUUUGAAUUCUUGACCUCCUCAAAUUUAUUUUGGGGUGUUGUAGUUUUAUAUGUAUCUAUGUUUUUUCACGAUUCUCAUAAAAAUGUGUACCCUGUGAAUUAAUCAGUGUUGGAAGCCUUGGUAAAAAGGGAUCUGAGGAUAAAGUUUCUAAUAUUCAUGUGCGGAAUUGCACAUUCAAUGAAACUCAAAAUGGAGCACGAAUCAAGACAAUUCCUGUGAGUAUAUCUAACAAGAUUAAAUAUGUUUAUACUUUGUAAAAAAUAUGGAUUUUAAAGUUUCAUUUUUAUUAAUAAACAUAUUCAAUACUACCUAUAAUAUAUGUAUCAUGUAUGCAUGAGAAGUAAUGGUUUUUCACAUAUACUUUACUAUUUAUAAUUGUAUAGACAAAUAUUAUUGUAAGGUUUUUGUUUUAUAAACAUGGACAUUCGACACGGACAUGUCGACAUCGUUAAUAAUUUAAAAAAAAAUUACAUGAUUCAGUGUAAUUAUAUGUGCCAGUGCCGUGCCAACGUCGUGUUCGGCACCGAAACAUGUCUAAUCCAAUAGGUGUCCGUGCUUCAUAGGUCAAUAUACACCAAGAUCUAAGUGUAGUCCCAGAAAACUCAAUUCUUGGUAGCUAGAUCAAGAGUUAAGGGUAUACAAACAUCUGAGGCAAUUUCAAAGAGCGUUCUUGGAAACCAAUAUUUUGUGUGUCAAGUCCAUCAAUCUAGUCCAGACUUGGGCAUGAGUUUGCUCCUGCAUAUGUGGAUUAAAGUUUGACGGCCAGAUCAACAAACGUUAGAGGCCAACCUUCAAAUUGUACGUUCCGAUGGACCACACUCUUCGCAUGUCAUCAAUCGAUGAAAAUUGAAACUCAAAUAAACCCCAGUCCUAGAGAGAUUAGUUUCCAAUUUCCUAUAUCUUUCCAAAGAAUGGAAAGUUUCUUCUACAAGGCACGCACCGUUAUUGGCAGCAGCGACGCUAGCCAUUCUUUUGCGAAAGGGCCAAAAUAUAAAUAAAUAAAAUGAAACAUAAUUUGAGUGUUGUGUCGACAAUUUUAAUGUUAAUUAAUAAAAAUUUGUUAGUAGUUGUUUAAACUAUUAGAAGUGUCAAAAUAAGACAAAAUACAUCUAUCAAACAAGUAGAUGUCUUUUGACUUUCUUAUUUUACUAGUUUUUGAUAAAUAAAUUCGUUUGUGGUAACUACAUAUACAUUAUUGAGGUAGCUACCUGCAAUGCAAGACAUUCGUGGAGGUGUUUCUUGCAUUCUUCAACCCCUUCUCAUCUUCAUCUUUACUAAUCUUGAUGUAUAAAGACUCACCUUGAAUUGUUAUUUUUGGUAAUUGGCAUGAUUGAAACUUUAGGCUAUAAUGAUUGAAAAUAUUAUCGCAAACCAUAAUAGUUCCAAUUCGAUCGUCAAAUUUUUUGCAGGGUGGAUUAGGUUAUGCAAAACAUAUUACAUUUGAGCAAAUCAUCCUUGUUAAUGUUAACAACCCAAUAAUUAUAGAUCAGGAAUAUAGUAUUAGUCACAAGGUAAAAUAUUUCAUUCUACAUUAUUCAUAUUAUUACAGCUUCUGAUUUCAACUAUGUUGGCUGGUUUUAUAUAUAAUUAUAAUAUUUAUGUGUUGAAAUUAUUAGGGUGCAAAUGUGUCGGUGAGUUCAGUGAAAUUUCAAGGAUUUACCGGAACUUCUGCUAGCGGCUUAGCUAUUCAGUUAAAUUGUAGCUCUUCUGGUUGUUAUGACAUUUUAUUGGAACAAAACAACAUUGUUUCUGCUCAACCAGGAAAGAAGGCUUCUUCUUUUUGUACAAAUGCCCAUGGAACUGCUAGAAAUACUGUUCCAAAUGUCCCUUGCUUAUUAAAGUAAUUUUUUUUCUUUCUUCCAUGUAUGAAAAAAAUAAUUAAAAAGUGUAUUAUUAAUAAGUUGCAAUGCAAUUCAGAAACUCUUUAUUAAGAUCUUUGAGAGGCACAUCAUGUGUUUGAAUAUAUAUAUACUUGGCCUACCCAUGUUAAAUUUCUACCGUAAACUUCAUAAGUUUUAAAUUGUAGUAACUGUUUUACUUUAUAUUCAAGAGACAACAAGUUCAUAUGAUUCUAUAAAUGAUGUCUUCAUGUUUAGUUCUUUUUUUGCUUACUACGCCAUAAACUUGGGAAAAAAUUUAGACAGUGAUUACAAUAUAUUUUGGGAUAAAUAUUAAAUAAUCACCUUGAGGUCUUACAAACAUUGCCUAAGCCCAUAAGAAUUGUAGACCAAGCUUGCAACCCUUUUUGUUCACAAAGACCAAGUUCCAACAAUUUCCGAAAAACCGAAACGACACAAAAUCAAGUUUCAAACCAUUUAGAAAAUUAAAGUUUCGACAAAGCCAAAUGUGUUCCAGUAGAAAAGUAGGUGAAAACAGCAAAAGAACACUUCAAAACGAUCGCCUAGGACCCCUACACGACCACCCUAAGCACCCGAACACGGAACAACGUUCCCGUUGUCCUGUCCUGGGCGCCUGGCGCUAGAGGUGCAGCGCCUAGCGCUAGCACACUGACAUGUGGGCGCCUAGCGCCCUUGUGCAGGCGCAUCGCUCCGUAAACGCGCGUUUUCGCGUGUUUCGGCCGCGGGUUUUCGCCAAUUUCGACCAAAAAUCGAAUGUUUAAAGUCCUCAAUCAUCAAAAGUGAUCCGAGGCAUAACCUGAGGCUCUAACACAUCGAACUUACUCGUUUCGUGGCAUUUGUACAAGUUAUGAAAUUAUUAAAAUGAUUUUCUCAAAACAAUAAGUCUUCAACAACAACAACAAUUCAUUUCGUCCAAUUCAACACAAUUCACAACAACAUCUCAACAUAAUUCAUACCCAAGUUAUGCAAUGUGAUCAUCAUUAAAAAUUAACCACAACUUAUGAUUAUGCAUACCAUCAUAUUUCAACAACAACAUGUCGUAAUUCACCAAUUUCACAAAACCACUAACAACAGUCCAUUUCUCAACAACAAUCAUGAUAUAUCAACACCCAAGCCAUAAUCAUAAACAACAACAUGUAUCAACAACAACAUCAAUUGAAACUUGAUUCCCACCUCAAUUCAACAACAACAUGUUAUAAUUCAUCAAUUAAGCAUAAUUUUACAACUACCCAUUUUCACACAUUAUGAAUAUGUUAUUUCAUCACCAACAAUUCAUUUAUCAUUCAAUUAACAUACUCAAACUUAUUACCAAAAUAAGAGCACGAAUUUUAACAACAAUUAUCAAUUCAUUCCAAUCAACCCAUUUCAUACAACAAGGAAAAUUGCAAACAAAACAAUCAUGAUUAUGAUGAAGACUAACCCCCUUACCUUAGGUUAUGAUUAAUUCAAAUUUAAGCUUCACUUUAGCUCCUAAUUCUUCAAUCUUCAAGUUUUCCCCCUUUGCUAACCCUUGUUCUUCCUUUCAUUCAAUUUCUCUCUCUACCUCUCUCUAACUUGUGAAAUGAAAUGAAUGAAUGAAUUUCUCUCCAAGUUUAGGUUUAGGUGUGUUCCCACUCAAUUGGGCUCAAUUCUAGACCCUAAUGGGCUUAACCCAUUCUAACACAAUUCUAAAAAGUUUUUAAACACUCAACGGUAAUUACUAACAACGGUAAAAUAUAACCAACGGUCAUUAAACGGUAAAAACUAAUCAUUACACUAGUAACUUAGUAAAAUAAGGGUUCUCACAAUAUAUUAAAAAUAAUUCUCACCAAAAUUACCAUUUUACCCUUACCCACCAAAUGACCAAAAUAUCCUUCUAAUACGGAAAUCCAUGAAAAUGCACUCAAUGACAAUUAAAUACACACAAGCACAAUUAAUCACACACAAACACAUAAUAAAAGUAAUUAAAAUAAAUCUAGCUAAAAAUCGGACUGUUAUAAAAUUUACCUGACGGUGAUGUUUGAAUUUGUCACUCCUCCGUGGGAAAGGGGAAAACGAAUGGUUUAUACGAAAAAAAUUGUUUUGAUAGUUUCAAUGAAAUAACUUCCCAAUUUGAUUGAUUAAGUGAUUAUAUAAUUUGGGGUGAUUUGAUAGCAUGCGAAUUAUGUCAAAUAAGGAGAACUAGAGUCUAGAAGAUAGAUGGAGGUUGGAUUGGCGGUAGUUACCGAUGUGUGUGUGGAGGCGCGGCUCAGAGAUGAAAGUCGGAUUGGUGGUGCGACGAGAGGUGUUGGGUGAGAAGAAGAAACCCAAACGCGUACUGAAGAUAGAAAAAGAAGAAACAUAUGUUUUUUAUUUGAGUGGGGGAUAUCCAUUGAGAAUUGCUCUUCUCCCAUAUGGUUUUGCUCAUGGAUAUUAGACUACAAUUUUUUUUUUAAGAUCCACACAUUUUGGAGGCCCGACUUGGUUGAGCUGUUUGCACUACCUAAGACCGGGCAUAGAUAUUAAAGUUGUGUUAACCAUCUAAAUGUAUGGUUAGUUGAACACUGAGUUUGAAAAAAUCACGUUAAAAACAUGAUGGCUCAGCUUGAUUCUAACGAUCUAAAUGCCGGUUUAAACAUGCACUAAAUUGACUCAAAUUUGUGUGCUGGUAUAAUUAACCACAGCUGGUGAAAAAUAUCCCUGUGAACAAACAAGACUAAUGUUAUGUUAAAGAAGAGAUUAUUUUAACUAGUAGAUAUGCUUCUUGUUAACUAAGGGAAAUUUACCAGGACAACAAGUGACACUUAAAUAACUCCUUAAAAAAAAAAGUGACACUUUAAUAAUAUUUGCCCCAAAAAAUAUACAUCUUAAUAGACUAAUACCAGUUAUAUAUGUGUUGAAUUUUGGUGAAAUUACUAGGGUAAAGAUGUGUCGGUGAGUGAUGUAACAUAUCGAGGUAAACUGCCGUUGGCAACAUAGCUAUUGAUUUAGAUUGCAGUAACUUUGGUUGUUUGAACAUUCUAUUGGAUCAAAAUGACAUUGUCUCUUCUCAAUCAGGAAAGAAGAUUUCAGUUGUUUGUAAAAGAAAAGUCAUUUUAAAGAGUGGGUCAUUAAUCAAGUUUGGAAUGCAAUUUAGAAACUUUUUUAAAGAAUAUUUGAGACUAAAAGAAUAGGAAAAUGUUACAUGAACACUCUUUAUUUCUACACUCCAUUGUACACCUCAUGUAUUAGGGAUAUUUUAGUAAGUUCAUCUCACAACCACACUUUAUCUUCUAUUUGUGUGGGAUCCAAGUUGCCACGUGUCAGAAUUUUGUGUGGGUGUAAAGGGUGUAUUGCCACAUAGGGUGGUACAUGUAUCAUCACUCAAAAGAAUAAGGGUUCAACUAGCUUAUCCUAGGAGUUUUUUAAGCAUAUUUUGUUGGUUAAUUAGUUGUUAUACAAGCAUUGUUUAUCCUCAUCAUUGGAAUCAAUGAAAAAUGCAGAAAUUUCUCCUUCUUUUAUCUCUUGUUUAUUUCUAUAAAUUCUGAAGUGUGACAAGACUCGAAUAUAGAAUAUUACUCCUUUCUUUGCUAGUAUGGACAUUCUCAAUCUAAAAUUAGGUAUAUGUAUAUAUUUACACAAUCAUGCGGUUGUCGUUACUUGAUUGACAAAUGCGUCAAAUAUGUUAUUCUUCAACUACAUAAUUUAUGCACAUAUUUGGUUAUGGGCUUCAUUUCCACAAGUACUAACUCAGUUAACAAAAAUGUUGAAAUCGAUAGGUAGAUCGCUAUGAUGAGGUUCGAACUCCAACUCCUCCAUUUAUCUGUGUGAGUUUUUAAUGUUCAAAAGAAGAAGAAAAAUCAUGUGUUUUGAAUACAUCAUGUGUUUAAAUAUAUACUUUGUUUGAUGUUCAAAAGAAAAAAGACAACAUAUAGACAAGUGUUUGGAAUAUACCGUUUAAAUAUUACUUGCCCCACCCUUGUUAAAUUUCUAAUGUAAACUUCAAAAGUUUCAAAUUGUUGCAAUUCUCAUUUACUUUAUAUUCGAGAGACUGCAAAUUUAUGUUUCUAAAAAUAAAAAAUAUUCAAUGUUCUCACGUUUAGUUCUUUUUGCUUAUUGCAUCAUUCCACUAUUAGAAUAGGAAAGUUUAUGAAGAAGACGGUCUAAAAUUUCAACCAUAGUACCUCAUGAUCUAAAACCAAAUAUUUCUCAUUGUGAACAAGCUAACAUAAAAAAAUAAAAAAUAAAAAGAAUCUGAAUGUUUGGUUUUAAAGUUAAAAGAAUAUUGAACUACUAUUAAUAGCAGUAGUAACUCUUUUAAUUGCAUGGGCAAAUUUUUAUUGGAGUAUGGCUUUUAGUUACCAAAACCUUCAUAAAAUAUCAAAUUUAUUUAAUCAUCCAUUAUAUCCAUUAGAUCAUUAACGAUGCAACUCCUAAAAAUGUAAUUUAAUGAUAGAAAAACGGUUGAACCAGAAGAUUCAUUCUUGUUUAUGUGUCAUCUAGACAAAAGUAUAUUCGCUUGUAUAUGUUUUCUAUUAAAUUCUCCACUUUUUACCUUGUAAAAAUUAUAAACUCCUAUAUUUCCAUUAUAUAUGUAACUUCCAACUAGCUUAAUUUCUCAUUAAUUUUACAUAUAUUCCAACCAAACUUUAGUCUUGCUAAUACGUAUAAUGAAAGGUGAAAGAAUAAAACUUAUUGUAAAAAGAAACCGGUGAAAACUAAAAGGUCAUGCGCUAAUUGCUUUAGUCUUCUAAUUAUGUACAAUGAAAGGUGAAAGAACAAUAGCUUAUUUUGAAUGCUUGAAUAUUAAUUAGGACAUAUUUAUAAUAUAUAUUGACCGUUUAAUUUUUUUUUCACUAGUCCCCGUUCUAUAUUCCCAAUAAAUUAUCUUCCAUGCAAUUUUCUAUUUAACCCUCACACCACCUCUUACUGCCUUCACAAAUCAUCACAAUAGCUCAACAUGCAAGGGUUCGUUACUUUUGUUUUGAUUCUUGCUUUUCUUUCACCUUGUCUAUGUACAAUGUUGAAUGUUCGAACCACAAAUGGUAUCUAUAACGUGAUGCAAUAUGGUGCGCGUGGAGAUGGAAAAUCUGAUGACUCAAAAGUACAUGUUUCUAUGAGCUUGUUCUUUAUAAUAUUAAAUAUCUACCCCUCAAUAUAAUUAUAUAUAUGUUGAAUUGUAGGCAUUUUUUAGUGCAUGGAGUAGUGCUUGUAAAGCAGUAGGGACGUCAACACUAGUUAUACCAGGUAAAAUAUUCAUGGCGUCGAAAAUACAUUUUAGUGGUCCUUGCAGCGCCAAAAUUCUCAUCCAGGUAACUCCCUCUUUGGCCUUAUUUGUAAGUGAAAUUUAUCGUAAUUUUUUUAUUCAAAUAUAAAAUUAAAGUGUGUCUAAUAUGGUUUCCUUAAAUAGUUUAAAUUUAUCGUUUGUAUAGAUUAGUAAGCGUUUGUGUGCGUGUUUCCUUUCCUUUCCAUUUUUGAAAAUAGUUGCACCUUCUUCCCUCUAUAUAUACUGCAGCUUAAAGGGAAAAUAGUUGCACCUUCUAAAGCAGCAUGGAGAGGUGGAUCAGAAUGGAUUAACGUUGAAUAUGUAAAUGGACUCACAAUUGAUGGCAAUGGUGAAGGAAGUGUCCUUGGAGAUGGUCCUACUUGGUGGCAAUGCCCCCGUUGUAGUCGACCCACGGUAUGGUUAUUAUUCACCUUCUUUUUUGUUAUAAUUAAUUUGAUUGCAAAAUGAAGUUAUACUUUGAUUUGGUAAAAGAUUAUACAAAUGUAAUUGAUUCUAUACCUAUGCACAUCAACUCUUUGUAGAUCUUGGAAUAUAUAAUACAAUCAAGCUCCAUAUUAUUUUUUUGAAGUGAUUGUCAGUAUGUAUCAUGUGACAUAAUUUUUUUGAUGGUACAGAUGUUGCAUUUUCAUUCUUGUAAUGAUCUCAAUGUUCGAAAUUUGAGGAUCUUAAAUAGCCCAAGAUCUCAUGUUUCUGUUAAUAUGUGCAAUCAUGCAACAUUUUCCUAUAUAUCCAUUAGUUCUCCUGCUACUAGCCCCAACACUGAUGGGUUUGAUAUAUCUCAUUCCAAUAAUAUCUUGAUACAAGAUUCCAACAUAAAAUCUGGUAAUUCAAGUUUAUUAUCUUAUGAUAUUUUAAAUUUUUAGUAUGCCUUAAAAAAGAUUAUAUAGAUGUCUAAAAAAGAUUAUAUUAUUUUAUGAGUCAAAUAGAAUAAAUAACAUGUGUCAAUUUAAUUUGAUUUCCAAUUUUUCUUUUAAAUAGGUGACGAUUGUAUUGCAGUAAAUGGUGGCUCCACUUUUAUCAAUGCUACUCGGGUUACUUGUGGACCAGGCCAUGGGAUAAGGUUUAUAAAUGAUUGUAUAUUUUAAAUUUAUAUUAUUUUUAAUUGUAGCUUAGUAAAAAUGAGAGCAAAGAAUUUUAGUGUGUGUCAUUGUAUAAAGACGACUAAAAAUCUACAUUUCUAUUUUAAAUCUCAUUUCAAAUGUUAAAAUAUGAUAUUGUUUACAAACAAAUGUUAAUUUUUAGAAUAAUAUACAAGUGGUUCGAGUUUGACUUCUUGACAUCCUCAAACUUAAUUUGGUGUGAUAUGAUUUUAAUUUUAUAUUAUACAUAUAUUAAUGUUUUCCAAGAAUCUCAUAGAAAUGUGUAUGGUAUGAAUUAAACAGUGUUGGUAGCCUUGGUGGAAAUGGAGCAAAUGAUCAAGUUUCCGAUGUUCAUGUAAGAAAUUGCACCUUUAUAGGGACUCAAAAUGGAGCAAGAAUCAAAACUGUUCCGGUGAGUAUGAGUGAUAGGGUUUUUCACGUUUACUUCUUUUCAUAAACAUUGAUUUAUUAUAAAUUUCAAAUCUACUAUUAUAACUUUGUAUCUUUUACGACUUGUCAGUUCAUAUUCAAAUAAUUAUGUAACAAAUAUUAAGAGUAAUAUAUAAUAAUAAUAUCACAAUAUAUAUUAGUUUAUAAGAAAAUUGUCAAUUGCAUAUUGCAAAAAAAUAGCGUUUUAUUUAAAUUUUGCUAUUCUCUAUGGUGCUGCUAUUUAUCCAAAUUUGUUGAGAGUCAGCGAUGCAAUGACAAUACCUAUUUGUUCAUUGUUGAAUAAUUUGUAGGGUGGAUCAGGUUAUGCUAGAAAAAUAACAUUUGAGCAUAUUGUGCUUGUCAAUGUUAUGAACCCGAUAAUAAUAGAUCAGGCUUACACUCUUAGUACACUGGUACGUACAUAUAUUUAUAUCUUCAUUUCAACACUGUUAGCUAGUUUUAUAUAUCAUAUUGAAUUUUGUUGAAAUUAAUUAUCAGGAUACAGCUGUGUCGGUGAGAGAUGUGACAUAUCGAGGAUUUACCGGAACUUCUUAUAGUGAUAUAGCAAUUGAUUUAAAGUGUAGUUCUUCUGGUUGUUUUAAGAUUCUAUUAGAUCAAAAUAACAUUGUAUCUGCUCAACCAGGAAAGAAGACUUCCUCUUUUUGUAGAAAUGCUCAUGGAAUAGUUAGAAAUACUAUUCCAAUUGUCCCUUGCCUAUCUAAUUAAUGUUGUUAUCAUUAAUCAAGUUAUAAUCAAAUAGUCACGGAAUUUUUAUUAUUUUUUGCAAAUCUGCCAGAUAUGAUUUAUAUUCAUUUAACCACAUACUUGGUUAAUAGUUUCAUUUUCACGUAAUUGUAGCACCGUAGUUUUCACUUCACGUAUGAUAAGAAUGAAGUGAAAACUAUUGGAUUUUAUUUGUCUAUUGUAUUUAACAUGCUAAAAUAGUUAACAAAACUGGCAUACUUACUGUUAUAUAAAGGACCUAAAAAUUCUUCUUAUCACUAGUCCAAGUGAAGACUUCCAAUGAAGUAUGUAGGAGGAUUAAGAUUGAUAGCAAAUAGUAGGUGUCAUGACAUAUUAUAUGGUUAAAUAGUGGCUUAAAAUCAGCUAGUAGAAGAGUUUCGUGUCUUUCGUUAAUUUUGCUUUCGUAACAAACAUCAUUACCCUUUGGAAAAUUACGGCGAUUAAUCCCCCGAAUCAAACAAUAGAUAGACAACGACCGAAACUCCCAAAACAAGCCUAAGUGAAUAUAGGGUUGGAUCUUAGUGCAAAAUACUUGUCGGUUUUUACAAAUGAAUUGGAACGUGAGAGUUUGUCACUCAUUCCAUGAAGUUAAUAUAAUAUAUGGGAUUUCAUCAAGGAGUGGACGUGAUCUUUUAUGAGCAAAUUCUGAUACAUCUAAGUGUUUUGUUUUGAGUAAAUGAUCAUUUUGGUCUUUGACUUUGUACGUCGCUGUUAUCAAAGUCUUUGACUCAGGAUUAAAUACAAAGUAAUCCUUGAAUGUGCAUUUUCUUUAUCGGUUUAGUCUAUGGCGUUAAAAGCUUAGGUUAACCAAUGAGGUGACAAAUGUUUUGUGCUAACAAGAUUCAUGAGGUGUCACAGGACUAAAGUGAAAGUAGAAAAUUGUCACUUUGGUUUCUGAACCGAAAAUCAAUAUUCUUAGAUUGAAUCUCAAUCGUAAAUCCCGAAUUUAAUUCUCAAAUCCUUAAAUCUCAUUUAAUUCCCUAAAGCCGCCAAAUUGAUUUUCAAACCCCUAAAUCUCUAAAUUCUAGAAAGUGUAGAAAUUAAUCUGAAGGUAUAUUAAUUGAAAGCUUAAAUAUGUAAAUCGUCUCUGUAAGUUUGCGUGUUUUUGAUUAUCGUCCCUGCAUCUUUUUUGUUCUAAAACAAACCCCGUAAGUUACAAAUGUUUUGAUUUUCGUCCUUCCCGUCAACAUUUGUUACAAAAACACUGAUGUGUCUGACGGUGACUGAUAUGGCGUUGUUUGACAUGGCAAAAGAGGCUUAUGUGUCCUUCCAGGCAAGAUUACAGGGACCAAAAUCUAGUACAUGAACGUCAGUCACCGUUAGACACAUCAUCGUUUUUGUAAUAGAUGCUGAUGGGAGGGACGAAAAUCAAAACGUUGUAACUAACAGGGUUUGUUUUAGAACAAAAAAUAUACAAGAAUGAAAACAAAAAACACGCGAACUUACAGGGACGAUUUACUCCCUUCGUUUCUAAUUAUAAGCAAAUUUUACUUUUUAGGUUCAUUCAAUGAUGUAUGUGGUUUAUAAUAUGGACCACAUACAUCAUUAAUUGAAUGAACCUAAAAAGUCAACUUUACUUAUAAACUUAGUUACAGAUGGAAUACAUAUUUAAACCUUAAUUGAAUAAAAUAGAAUAGAUAGAAGCAGAUUUAAAACGGUUCAUAAAAAAUAAAAACAAACAAAAUGGAAUAGUACAUACUAGAAUAUACAUAUAAACAAAGUAACAAAAACUAUGGGUCAGAUUUUUUCUUGAAAUUAUUUUCAAACAAUAAUAAUAUAUUUCUAAAUAUUUAAUGUUUUUUUCAAAUAAUUAAUGUGUUUUUUUUCAAAUAUUUAAUGUUUUUAUGAUAAGGACAUAUUUAAAAUAUAUUUUCCGUUUACUUUUUUUUUUCCCUGGUCCCUUAUAUAUUAGUCGUAAUAAAGUGUCUUCUAUGCAAUUUUCUAUUCAACCCCACACCAACCACUACUUACUGCCUUCACAAAUCAUCAUAGUAGCUCUUAACCUUCCUUCUUUUUUAAAUCACCCUAAGUCAUCAUGCAAGGGUUCAUUGCUCUUGCUUUGAUUCUUGGUUUUGUUUCACCUUGUCUAUGUACAAGGAUGAAUGUUGGAACCGAAAAUGCAAUUUAUAAUGUGAUACAAUAUGGUGCACGUGGCGAUGGCAUAACUGAUGAUUUACAAGUAGAUGUUUCUUUGAACUAUUUAAUUCGUUUCGUCUAUUAUUUAAUUUGUAAUUUGUAUAUUUUUAUGAGAAACUUAUGGCUUUGGUAGAUUAUGACUAUUCUAAUUGAAUUGUAGGCAUUUGUUAGUGCAUUUAGCAGUGCGUGUAAAGCAGCAGGGAUGUCAACACUAAUAAUACCAGCUGGAAAAAAAUACAUGGUGUCGAAAGCAAAUUUUAGUGGUCGUUGCAGCGCCAGAGUUCUCAUUCAGGUAGAGUCUCAGAUCUUAUUUAAGAUCUAUUCAUUGAUGUCAGUAAAAUAAAACACAUAUAUAUUAAUUAUAUAUUGAUGGACAAAAGUUAUAUAUGAAUUAUAAUUUUUUUUUUUUUAAGAAAUUAUAAUAUUAAAUUUUAAAAAUAAUAUUUUAUAUUGAAAAUAUGGAUAUGUAUCAUUAUUUUUCCAAUGAAGUUUUUGUAUUGUGAAAAUAUUGUAUAUAUUAGGGGACCAAUUUGGUCCCCUAUGUUUUACUUCGUUACUAGUUUUAGUCCUUUCUGUUAACGUUUUUUUGAGAGAAACUAACAGAAAGAACUAAAACAAGUAACAAAGCAAAACAUAGGAGACCAAAUUGGAACAAAUUAUAGUUAGGGGAUCAAAUUGAGACAAUCAAUUAAGUUAAGGGACUAGGUGAUUUUUUUUUUUUUUUGUGGUGGCCAGGAUUCGAACCCCAGACCUUGCAUAUUUUAUGUAUUGUCCAUAUCAACUGAGCUAAGCUCACAAGGACUGGGACCGGGUGAUUGAAUAAGCCUAAAUUUUUUCUAAAAUUAAAAUAUUAAUGACAAUUUAAAAUAAUUAAGAUAUUUAAUAUUUUUCCCUUUAUACCGCAGCUUGAAGGACAAAUAGUUGCACCUUCUAGAGCAGCGUGGAAAUCUAAGUUAUAUUGGAUUAGCGUCGAAUAUGUAGACGAACUCACAAUUGAUGGCAAUAACAAAGGAGGUUUUCAUGGAGGUGGUCCUACUUGGUGGCAAUGCCCAACUUGUGAUCGACCCGUGGUAUGUUUAUUAUUCACUUUGUUCUAUGUGAAAAUUAAUUUGAAGGUUAAAUAUGUUUUGAUUUUUAUAUUUUUGUUGUCAUAUAAAAAAUGACAUUUUUGUGUCCCUAUAAAAAACAUUAGCACACAAACUUUUGAACACGUGUUUAGAGCAUUAUAUAAAGAUCAUUUAUAAAUAAACUUAUGUAUUUAUUAACAUGGGAUGGAAUAAAUAUGAAUUUUUUAAAUAUCAAAAGUUCAAGAUAAAAGUAAUAAAAUCUAGACACAGAAGUAAAAUUGUAAGCUCAUUUUUUUGUGGAUGAACUUUUUAUAAUGUUCUAACAUGUUUUGUAAAAAAAAUAAUUAAAAUAUAUAUUGUUUUCUUCUUCUUCUUUUAUGGAAAAAAUGUUUGUUGUCUUAACAACACAAACUAAAAAUGCGUGCGUAGAAAUUUUAUAAGUGCGUAAAAGUGGCACUUAUUUUAUGGCGACGAAAAACGAAAGUGUAUAGGGAUAAAAAAAAAACAUAUUUAAUCAUUAAUUAUCAUUUAUUUAGAGAAAAAAUGAAUAGUUAUAAUUUGAUUUUAUAUUCUACAACUUUUUAUUGAGCCCCAAAUUAUCAUUUCGAAAUGAUUGUGAAUAUCUUGUGACAUAAUUUUUCUGUUGGUACUUGGUAUAGAUGUUGUUUUUCCAUUCCUGCAAUGGUCUCAAUGUUAGAAACUUGAGGAUCCUGAAUAGCCCAAGAUCUCAUGUUGCUGUUACUAUGUGCAAUCAUUCAACAUUUUCUCAUAUAUCUAUUAAUUCUGCUGCUACUAGCCCCAACACUGAUGGGUUUGACAUUUCUCGUUCCAGUAAUGUCUUGAUAGAAAAUUCUAUGAUAAGAUCCGGUAAGUAAAGUUUAUAUUAUGAUCAUUAUUUUAUAAGUGUCGUAUAGAAAUUGAUAUGAAAAACGUGAAAAAGUUAAUUAAAAUAAAUAAAUUUUGACUAAACAUUUUUGUAUAAGUAAAUGCAAAACACUAUUUUUAUAGCUAAGGUCUUUAUCCUUAAAAUGUUUAACAUUUGUGGAAAUUUAACUUGAGUUUUUUUCUUUUAAUAAAUAGGUGAUGAUUGUAUUGCGCUUAAUAGUGGCUCCUUUUUUAUUAAUGUUACUCGGGUUACUUGCGGACCAGGCCAUGGAAUAAGGUUAAUAAAAAUUGCAUCUCUAAUGUACAAUUUCACACUUAUACUAUUUCUAUUGUAGCUUAUAGUAAAAAUGAGAGCAUAGAAUUAUAAUGUGUGUGCAUGUGUAGAUUGAAUUUGGAUUAGACAACUAAUAACCUAAAUUUGUAUAUUUAAAUCUCAUUUUGAAAUGUCAACAUGAGUUUUUAUACAAAAAAUGUUAGUUGUUAGUAUGAUAUACUAGUGCUUAGAGUUUGAAUUCUUGACAUAUUUAGACUUAUUUUGGUGUACCAUAUUUUUAUAUUUUUUAUGAACCUCAUAAAAUGUGUACUUUAUGAAUUAAUCAGUAUUGGCAACCUUGGUAGAAGUAGAUCAAAUGAUCAAGUUUCCGAUGUUUAUAUACGUAAUUGUACCUUCAUUGGGACUACAAAUGGAGCAAGAAUCAAGACGGUUCCGGUAAGUGUGAUUAAUUGGAUUAAAAUUUUGUUCAUAUUAAAAUUUUAUUCAAUUUUUGUCCUUGCUUUUUACAAAAUCAAUCAAUGUGUCUUUAGUAGUUGUGCAUUAUAGAGACUAAAUUCAAAAUUAAAAAUAUUAUUACGAUUUAAAAUAUAACUAGAACGACUAUAUCUAUGCGUGAGAAAUUAUGCUUGUUCACAUCUACUGUUUUUGUCGUGUAAAUUAUUUAUUUAUAAAUUUUCACAUCUACUUUGCUAAUUAUAAUUUUGGAACUUUUAACCAUUUUUCAAUUCAGAUCAUAUAAUUACGUAGUAAUAAUUUAUAAGUAAUACAUUAUAAGAUUAUGCAGGGUGGAUCAGGUUAUGCAAGACAGAUUACAUUUGAGCAAGUCAUCCUUAGUAAUGUUAUGAACCCAAUAAUUAUUGACCAAGGGUACAAAAUUAGUCCAACGGUACGUAUUUCACUCAACAUUAUUAUUCAUAUUAUUAUAUCUUGAACAUUAGAUUAUUUCACUCUUGAUUGGUUUUACAUAUCAUAGUUACAUACGAGUUGAAAUUUUUUAAUUAGGAUACAUCUGUGAGGGUGAGUUCGGUGACAUAUCGAGGAUUUACCGGAACUUCUGCUAGCAAGAUAGCUGUUAAUUUAAAUUGUAGCUCCUCUGGUUGUUUCGACAUUCUAUUGGAUCAAAAUAACAUUGUAGCUACUCAAGCAGGAAAAAUGACUUCAUUUUUUUGUAGAAAUGCUCAUGGAACAGUUAGAAAUACUUUUCCAAAUGUCUCUUGUCUAUCUAAUUAAUGUUUUAUUUUAUUGGCCUCCAUUAUGCGGAGAAAUAAAUUGUUAAAUAAACAGUGUAUCCAUUAAUCAAGUUGCAAUGCAAUUCAUGCAGAAACUUCAUUUUUUGCUUGCCUUGUGACAUUCCCUAUCCAAAUUUUGAUUUGAAUAUCUGCAUUUCCUAAUUUUAAUUGAAAGACAACAUAAACAAAAACGUUUAGAAUAUAUACUUGGCCUACACAGGUUAAAUUUAAGAUGUAAACUUCAAGAGUUUUGAACUGUAGUAAUUCAACUACAAAAAUUUAUAUGUUUAGUUCUUUUUUCUUAUUUUUCCAUAAAAAGUUGUCCAAGUUCUUCGCCGCAAUCUUCCUGUGCAUGAUGUCCAGCCUAUAAAGAGCAAGAAGUUUAUUGUAACAUUCCCUUAUGAGAACAGAAAGAUGUAUGGAGAGUAUAAUCUAAUAGUAUAACCAUAGUUUCCAAGCAUAGUACUUUCAUACAAAUUCAUACUAAUAAAAAACAUUUCGAUUUUUUCAUUCUUUUGUCUUCAAGUUUCUUAGCUUCCAAUUCCAAGCUAUCUUAGACAACUAUGUUGUAUUUCAACCAUUCAUAUGUAUUCAAGUAAAAAUCAAAGCUCUCAGAAUCAGGAUAAUCGAUUUCUGACACAGUAUUAGAGCCUCAAUGAUCUAGUGCUCCAGAGUUUUAUAUUUCUUGCCUACCAUUCUUCUAACAAAAAGUUGAAUUUCCACACAAGGUAGAUGAGCUUGUGUAUUGUCCAUUUUUUAAAGCUCGAGAGGUUCUCAUGCGAGGAGGUGAAUUAGAGAAACGGUAUGGAAGUCAUCAUGUGUCUUUCACCUAACAGUCUAAGUUCUUAGGAUCAGGAACAGAUUUAGAGUAUAGUGAGAGUGUGAAAGUGCAACAAUUGACAGAAAAUUAUAAGAAAAAUCUUCAAUUAUUAUAUUUUACGUACCCUCUCUAAUUUUAUAUAUCUGCACUCCUUUAACCCAAUUUUUAUAUUAUGCACUCCCUGACCCGGUUCCUAGAUGCGCACUUAGAAUAGUUGGUUUUAUAUCAUCAAAAUGGUCAAUGAUUUUAUAUACUUUUGAUAAGAAUGCAAUCCAUUUAAUAUGAAUGAAUAUCACCACAAGAAGCAUUUAUAAAUUGGCUUACCACACUUUCAUUGUGAGGAGUUUUGCAAAGAAUCCUUAACCAUAGUUUCUAUUAGUAUAUGUAUGCUCUUAAGAAAGAAAUGCUUCUUAGGUUUAUGAUUGUAAACAAAAUAACAGCCUACAAUAAAGCACUUCUAGUAUCUACAUUCAAUAGCAUAAUUGGUGUAAUAGGGGAUCAGAGGAUCACUUCAAACAAUCUAGGUUCCAACCAAACAACCAUAAUGAAAUCUUGGUUAUAAAACUUGACUGUUAUUUACAUAUCCAUUAAGCUAUUUAUCAUAAACAAAUUCCACAGAUAGAAAAGUGAACAUACCACUAUAUGGUAUGAACGGAAGUAUUUAAGUUCGUCCAACAUUUUAAUCUGCCACCAAAGACUUUAUUAAUUUUUUUUAAUUGUAACCAUUUAAUCUUUUUGUUAAAAAAUAAACCAUUAGAUUUUAUAUGUCUAUUGUAUUUAAUAGUGCACCAUACUACCUAUUUUUUUUAUCCUUUUUCUUCAUCUUCAUCAUUUCUUUAGUUCUUCAUCAUCACAUUCAUCAAAUAGGUGGUUAUGGUAGAUACAAAACCCAUUGGUGGACCCAUCCAUCUCCAUACUAGAAGGAGAGUCAAUGCCUUGCAAGUCUAAAAAUCGUUUGCGGAGUUAAACCAGAUCCUAUAUCUUGCAAGACCUAGGGCUUUUUUUAACUUCAUUUAAGGGAUUUUUUUAAAGCAUGUGUAGAUGCUAAUGCAUAAGCAUAGGGUCUGGUUUGCAUUUAUAUUCAACUAUUCGGUUAUAUGUCAUUGAAUCAAUUGUCUAUUUUGCUCAACAUCGGAAGUCGACAGGUAAAAUGAAUUUCAUGUCGUUUUCCAGACAUGGAAACAUAUGAUGAGGGAUAAGUGAAGUAAUAAUUGAAAUAGAAGGAAUAUAUAAUCGAUUAAGGAAGGUCAUUAGACAAAUAGUUAACAAAGCUUAAUACGUUCUCUCUGAUCUUUGUUUCAUCACUUACACUACACCUACUACAGAUACAUGAUUAAACAAAACACUUUUCUAUACUCAAAACGAUUUUAAAUUGUUGACAGGUUAUGGUAUUGCAUGUGUCUCGUUAGAUUUGAUGUUUUAUUUUUGAUAAAACCGGCAUACUUACUAUUAUACGAAGGACUGAAAAAUCCUUCGUAUUACUAGUCCAAGUGAAGACUUGCAAUGAAGUCUGUAGGAGGAUCUAAGGUUGAUAGGAAAUGGUAUUAGCUAGUGGUGCUUGGUUAGUAGUUGGUUUGUGAUUUCAAUGAUACAGAUAAAUAUAAUCAAGCAAAAAAGAAAGGAGGUGUGGCGGUGAGAAUUCCAGAAAGCAUAGUGCAGUGAAUUUGGAGAACAGUAACAAUGCCGAAAUAUUUAAUUUUAGAAGUUUGGGGUUACGAAGGUUGGUAAAAAAUGAAUGAAGCUUGUCUAAUGAAACUCGGUUGGGCUAUUUGCAGAGGUGGUAAUAAGUUAUGAUAUGAAGUGUUGAGGGGAAAGUUUGCGCGAGAUGAGUUUCAUGUUGAUCGUAUGGUUGCGAAAGCAAAUGAUUCCAGUGUUUUGAAACAUUUGGCACGAUUGUGGCCUACAUUUGGGUUGUAGAGAAUGACACGAACAUUGCAGCUUGGGAUCAUUGUUGGAUUGGACAUGACAUUGAUAUAAGAGACAUUAUUGAUAACCCAUUUGGGUUUGUCUAGUGGUGUUGGCUUCGGACCUGGGAGUAUGCUCCUUGAUGACAUCUUGUCAUUACAUAAUUUUAUAUGUAAUUUGAUCACAUUUUGGAUUUCACAAGGCAACUUAUGCAGCAAGAAAAGCAAAAAAAACUGAAGAAAAUACAAAGAAGCAAAACGUGUCACGAUUCUGCUAAAACAUGACACGAUUUGACAAGGCCAAAACAUGCUCUCGACAUUGAGGCAAACGUGUCACGAUGGCAAAAACGUGACACGAUUUAAGGAAACCCUAAUACAGCUGUUUGUUAUUCAAAGGAAAAGGUGUCACGAUUUACUUAAAACGUGACACGAUUUUAGGCAAAUUUAUGCGCCUAUUUAAGCUGAAGUCUAUUCCAAAGACAAGGGUUACGAUUUGAGCAGAGCAAAGUGCGAUUUUGAGACUACAACACAGCUAGAAGGGCGAUUUCUUCACUCUUUUACGAGUUCAUGUAUGUAUUGAUUCCUUUAUUGAUUAUGUUAUUUGUAAACACCAUUAUGAGUAGCUAAAUCUCUUAGAGGUUAGGUCUGAGAUGAUUCUUUGUAACCCUAAUGAAAAUCUAGUUUUUAUUCAAUUCAAUUGUUUAUAAUCCUUUUUAUAUCCUGAUCAAAUAUAAACAUGAUUUAGUGAUAACGAAUGACUACUGACCAUGGUUUUCGACUUAGACCUAACUGAAUUGUUCUAAUACAGAUGGUUAGUCUAGGAAUGGAUAAUCCUUUAUUAAUGAUAUUAGUUUAACGUGCUUAAAGCCUUCAAAGAUUAUUAGACCACCUAAGGAAUUAUGGGUGUAAUCUGAGAAGAGAGUCUUAAACUCAAGUGAUUGAUUAUGGCUAUUUUGUUAACUAUCGUGGAACUAGAUAAUCAUUCAUAAGAAUAGGUGCAGUAUACCAAUUAGAGAAACAUCGAUGACUUGAAAGACCUGACCUCAUUUCUCUCUUAUUCUUAAAAACCAACUUUAAAUUCAAUCUUUACUUUUAUGCAAUCAAAUCAAUCUACUACCUAGUGGCAAAUUAAAAGAACCUUUAUACAUCCUUUUUAAUAACGUAAUUGAAUUAUUGAGAUUAAAACCAGUUCUUGUGGGAACGAUAUUUUUACUACUUCGAUAGUAUUUGGUACACUUGCCAAACUUCUAUCACUCCUCCUCAAGAUCUCAGGUUUAAUUCUCUCUAAUGCCAAUUUAGGUGGCCUAAUUAAUUUAGCUUCUUAUACCCAAUGAUAUUUCACAAUACAAAUUAGAAUGUAGCGGACAUCGACAGAUGUAUGUGGCCUGGGAACAAACAUGAUGAUCACUCAAUAGCUUCUUCGUAUGAGGAUUGUAAACUACUAUAUGAAUGCACAUAUGAAUAUAUAUCAAUUGGGUGCAACAUGAUUAGAGAUGUAUGUAGCCGAGUGUUUUGUCGAAUAAAUGGUUACUAUGUUCCUGAUUUUGCAUCUCGUUGUCACAAACAUCUUUGACUCAUCAUUAAAUACAAAGUAGUUCAUUAAUGUGCACUUCUAUUAUCAGUUUAAUUUCUCUCGUUAAAAACUUGUUAGCUAAUGAGGUGGGAAAUGUUUUGUUCGUGCUUGAGGCGUCACAGUGACUAAAAUGAAAGUAGAAAAUAGUGAUUUUGGUUCUUGAACCGAAAAUCAAUAUCCUAAAAUUGAAUUAAUCUUAAAUCUCUAAAUUUCAAAUUUAAUCCACAAAUUCCUAAAUCUCAUUUAAUUCUCUAAAUCCCAAAAUUAAAUUUCAAAUCCCUAAAUCUCUAAAUUCUGAAUUUAAUCCCAAAAUUCCUAAAUCUCCCACAACCACAAAACAUAUUCCUUAAAGAUGACCCUGUUUUAAAACAUUUAAUGCUAAAUCUCAUUUAAUUUGACCCAAAUCCCUAAAUUUCAUUUAAUGUUACUUCACCUAUAUAUAUAGGAUAAGUAAUUUGGUCUAUAUUAUAGACGAAAUACAUGAAUUAAUCAAUAAAUUUAAAAGUCAUUUUUUUGCUUAGAACACUCACAGAAAGAAUAUUAAUUACAUUAGUAGUUACUAGUAUAUAAAUAUAAACAAGUGAACAAAAACUAUGGCUCAGGUUUCUUCUUAAAAUUUUUUCAAACAAUAAUAAUAAUUAUAAUAUAUUUCCAAAUAUUUAAUGUUUUUUUUCAAAUAAUUAAUGUUUUUUUUCAAAUAUUUAAUGUUUUUAUGAUAAGGACAUAUUUAAAAUAUAUUUUCCGUUUACUUUUUUUUUUCCCUGGUCCCUUAUAUAUUAGUCGUAAUAAAGUGUCUUCUAUGCAAUUUUCUAUUCAACCCCACACCAACCACUACUUACUGCCUUCACAAAUCAUCAUAGUAGCUCUUAACCUUCCUUCUUUUUUAAAUCACCCUAAGUCAUCAUGCAAGGGUUCAUUGCUCUUGCUUUGAUUCUUGGUUUUGUUUCACCUUGUCUAUGUACAAGGAUGAAUGUUGGAACCGAAAAUGCAAUUUAUAAUGUGAUACAAUAUGGUGCACGUGGCGAUGGCAUAACUGAUGAUUUACAAGUAGAUGUUUCUUUGAACUAUUUAAUUCGUUUCGUCUAUUAUUUAAUUUGUAAUUUGUAUAUUUUUAUGAGAAACUUAUGGCUUUGGUAGAUUAUGACUAUUCUAAUUGAAUUGUAGGCAUUUGUUAGUGCAUUUAGCAGUGCGUGUAAAGCAGCAGGGAUGUCAACACUAAUAAUACCAGCUGGAAAAAAAUACAUGGUGUCGAAAGCAAAUUUUAGUGGUCCUUGCAGCGCCAGAGUUCUCAUUCAGGUAGAGUCUCAGAUCUUAUUUAAGAUCUAUUCAUUGAUGUCAGUAAAAUAAAACACCUAUAUACUUCCUCCGUCUCUAUAUCUAUGCAUCCAUUUGAUUUUAUUUUUUUUUCUAAAUGUAAAUUCCUUUUUAAAUUAUUAGAUGCAUUUAUUAUUUUUUUUCAUAAAUAUAUCCCUAAUUAAUACUACUAUCUUGUCUUAGUAAUAUGAAAAGUCAAAUUUAAUACACAUACAAACAAAGGACAAUUUCGUAAUAUUAACAUACAAAACAGACACAUUAAUUACACUGACAGUUUUUCUUAAGAAAUGUGAAAAAAGCAAAGGGAGUUACAUUAAGGGACGGAGAGUAUUAAUUACAUACCGAUGGACAAAAGUUAUAUAUGAAUUAUAAUAUAACUUUUUUAAGAAAUUAUAAUAUUAAUUUUUUUUUUACAAGAAAUAAUAUAAUAUUAAGUUUUUAAAAUUAUAUUUUAUAUUGAAAAUAUAGAUAUGCAUCAUUAUUUUUCCAAUGAAGUUUUUGUAUUGUGAAAAUAUUGUAUAUAUUAUAUUAUAUAAUAUAUAUAUAUAUAUAUAAGAUAUUACAUUUAUUUUGUAAAAACAAAAUUAAUUUCGAUGCACUGCUAGUGUAAAAAAAAAUUAAUUAAUCACAAAUCAUUUUUUGUACAACUUUGAAGAUAGAUACAGUCAACGUUGACUAUUUUUUAAUAUUCUAUGGUAGUUUCUGAUUUAAAGAUUUUUUUCUCAUUGUUCGUGUAUUACUUGCCCUCGAUUAAGUGUUUGGUGGAAACCGACUAGGUUUCGUUUGGAUUGGCUUAUUUUAGAGGUUAUGUAAAAUAAUUUAUGCAAAUAAAUAAAUAUUAAUGUAUUAUUUAUAAGUUUGUUAAAGUAGUUUAUGAAAAAACAACUUUUGAAUAUACAAUUUUUAUUAGUAAGAUCUUAUGAAUUAACAUAAAAGCAUAAUUAUUUGUAUAAGCUCUUUUUCAUAAGCUCAAUCCAAGCAAGUCUUAGGCUAGAUAACUUUUCUUAUUUUAUUUGUGUAUUCUUUGUGAUUUUUACCGUUUAAAAAAUAAAAAUGAUUGAUUAAAAGAAUCCACGAUCAAUUUCGUUAAGUUAGUUUAACUUUUUAAAAAAAAAUAUAUAUUAUUGAUUAAAAGAUAUUUUCUUUACGUGUUAUUAUGUCCUCCCUGAUGUUUUUUUCUUUAUUUUUUUGGGUCAAAUAGUUUAGUCGUUAGAAAUCCAUCAUUAACGUGAAGAAACGUGAUAUUCGAUAAUGUCCCUUCUCUAACACAGCUAUGUUCACGAGAAUUUUUUCUUCUUAUUUAUUUUAACCCAAUUUUAGAUCAUAAAAAAUAUUCUCAAUUUUCAUUCCUAUAUAUUUUAUAUACAUAAAUGUUUUUCUAAAAUUAAAAUAUUAAUUCCUUCAAAAAAAAUUAAAAUAUUAAUGAUAAUUUAAAAUAAUUAAAAUCAUUAAUAUUUUUCCCUUUAUACUGCAGCUUGAAGGGCAAAUUGUCGCACCUUCUAGAGCAGCGUCGAAAUCUAAGUUAUAUUGGAUUAGUGUCAAAUAUGUAAACGAACUCACAAUUGAUGGCAAUAACAAAGGAGGUUUUCAUGGAGGUGGUCGUACUUGGUGGCAAUGCCCAACUUGUGAUCGACCUAAGGUAUGAUUAUUAUUAUCAUUCACUUUGUUCUAUGUGAAAAUUAAUUUGAGGAUAUGUUUUCCGUUUCUAAAAUUAUCGAUUUUUAUUUUUUCAUUGUCAUAUAAAAUAUGGCACUUUUGUGCCCUAUAAAAAAAAUUAGCACACAAAUUUUUGAACACAUGUUUAGACAAUUAUAUAAAGAUCAUUUACAAAUAAAAAUAUGAAUUUAUUAACAUGGGGUGGAAAAAAUAUGAACUUUUUAAAUAUCAAAAGUUUAAGAUAAAAGUAAUAAAAUCUAGACAUAGAAGUCAAAUGGUAAGCUCAUUUUUUUGUCGAUGAACUUGUUAUAAUGUUCUAACAUGUUUGUAAAAAAAAUAUUCAAAAAUGCAUUGUUUUCUUCUUCUUCUUUUAUGUAAAAAAAUGUUUGCUAACUUAACAACACAAACUAAAAAUGCGUGCGUAGAAAUUUUAUAAGUACGCAAAGUUGGCAUUUAUUUUAUGGCGACAUAAAAUAAAAGUGUGUAGGGAUGAAAAACAUAUUUAAUCAUUAAUUAUCAUUUUUUUUAAAGGAAAAAAAUGAACAGUUAUAAUUUUUUUUUGAACAGGCAUGAACAGUUAUAAUUUGAUUUUAUAUUCUACAACUUUUUAUUGAGCCCUAAAUUAUCAUUUCGAAAUGAUUGUGAAUAUCUUGUGACAUAAUUUUUCUGUCGGUACAGAUGUUGUUUUUCCAUUCCUGCAAUGGUCUCAAUGUUAGGAACUUGAGGAUCUUGAAUAGCCCAAAAUCUCAUGUUUCUGUUAAUAUGUGCAAUCAUUCAACAUUUUCUCAUAUAUCUAUUAAUUCUGCUGCUGCUAGCCCCAACACUGAUGGAUUUGACAUUUCUCGUUCCAAUAAUAUCUCGAUAGAAAAUUCUAAGAUAAGAUCCGGUAAGUAAAGUUUAUAUUAAGAUUAUUUUAGAAGUGUCAUAGAAAUUGAUAUGAAAAAUGUGGAAAACAUAUUAGUAUAAGUAAAUGCAAAACACUAUUUUUAUAGCUAAGGUCAUUAUCCUUAAAAUAUUUAACAUUUGGGAAAAUUUAACUUGAGUUUUUUUUUUUCUUUUAAAUAGGUGAUGAUUGUAUUGCGGUUAACGGUGGCUCCUUUUUUAUUAAUAUUACUCGGGUUACUUGCGGACCAGGCCAUGGAAUAAGGUUAAUAAAAAUUUCAUCUCUAAAGUUCAAUUUCACACAUAUACUAUUUCUAUUGUACCUUUGUAAAAAUGAGAGCAUAGAAUUAUAAUGUGUGGGCAUGUGUAGAUUGAAUUUGGAUUAGAGAAUUAAUAACCUAAAUUUGUAUUUUAAAUCUCAUUUUGAAAUGUCAUAUGAGUUUUUUUUUUUGAAAUGUCAACAUAUGAGUUUUUUUUUUACAAACAAUGUUAGCUGUUAGUAUGAUAUACUAGUGCUUGGAGUCUGAAUUCUUGACAUAUUUAGACUUAUUUUGGUGUGCCAUAAUUUUAUAUUGUACAUGUAUUCAUAUUUUUAUGAACCUUCCUUCAAAAAAAAUAUUUUCUAUGAACCUCAUAAUAAUGUGUGCUUUAUGAAUUAAUCAGUAUUGGCAGCCUUGGUAGAAAUAGAUUAAAUGAUAAAGUUUCCGAUGUUCAUAUACGUAAUUGUACCUUCAUUGGGACUACAAAUGGAGCAAGAAUCAAGACGGUUCCGGUAAGUGUGACUAAUUGGAUUGAAAUUUUGUUCAUAUUAAAAUUUUAUUCAAUUUUCGUCCUUACUUUUUACAAAAUCAAAUCAAUGUGUCUUUAGUAGUUGUGCAUUAUAGAGACUAAAUUCAAAAAUUAAAAUUUUAUUAGGAUUUAAAAUAUAUUUAACCCUAACGAUUAUAUUUAUGCGUUAGAAAUUAUGCUUGUUGACAUCUACUUUUUUUUUUGUUGUAAAAAAAAAUUAUUAUAAAUUUUCACAUCUACUUUGCUAAUUAUUAUAAUUUUGGAACUUUUUUAUCCACUUUUCUGUUCAGAUAAGUAAUACAUGAUAAGAUCACAUUUUAUAUAUAUUUGCUUAUACCAAAUAUGCUCAAUCCAGAUUGAGAGAGAAAAAACACUUCAUUUAAAUUUUGCUACUCUAAAAUACUGCUAUAGCCUUUAUGUUCAAAUUCAGCGACGCAAUUUAUGAGAACGCCUUCAUUGUAAAAUAUUUUGCAGGGUGGAUCAGGUUAUGCAAGACAGAUUACAUUUGAACAAAUCAUCCUUAGUAAUGUUAAGAACCCAAUAAUUAUAGACCAAGGAUACAAAAUUAGUCCAACGGUACAUAUUUCACUCUACAUUAUUAUUAUAUCUUGUCAUUUCAACAAUGGAUUAUUUCACUGUUGAAUUUUGUUGAAAUUUUUAGGAUACAUCUGUGAAGGUGAGUUCUGUGACAUAUCGAGGAUUUAUUGGAACUUCUGCUAGCAAGAUAGCUGUUAAUUUAAAUUGUAGCUCCCCUGGUUGUUUCAAUAUUCUAUUGGAUCAAAAUAACAUUGUAGCUACUCAAGCAGGAAAAAAGACUUCAUUUUUUUGUAGAAAUGCUCAUGGAACAGUUAGAAAUACUUUUCCAAAUGUCUCUUGCCUAUCUAGUUAAUAAUGUUUUAUUUUAUUGGCCUCCAUUAUGUGGAGAAAUAAAGCUAAAUAAAGAGUGUAUCAUUAAUCAAGUUGCAAUGCAAUUCUUGCAGAAACUUCAUUUUUUGCUUGCCUUAUGACAUUCCCUAUAGAAAUUUGGAUUUGAAUAUCUGCAUUUCAUAAUUUUAAUUGCAAUAUCAUGUUGAAUAUAACAAGACAACAUAAACAAAAAUGUUUAUAAUAUAUGUGUUUGAAUAUAUACUUGGCCUACACAGGUUAAAUUUCAGAUGUAAACUUCAAAAGUUUUAAAUUGUAGUAAUUUAACUACAAAAAUUUAUAUUUUCAGUUCUUUUUUCUUAUUAUUCCAUAAAUAAGUUGUCCAAGUUCUUCGCCGCAAUCUUCCUGUGCAUGAUGUCCAGCCUACAAAGUGCAAGAAGUUUAUUGUAUCAUUCCCUUAUGAGAAUAGAAAGAUGUAUGAAAAGUAUAAUCUAAGAGUACAACCAUAGUUUCCAAGCAUAGUACUACUUUCGUGCAAAUUUAUACUAAAGAACAAUUUGGUUUUUACAUUCUUUUGUCUUCUAGUUUCUUAGUUUCCAAGCUAUCUUAGACAACUAUGUUGUAUUUCAACCAUUCAUAUGUAUUCAAGUAAAAACCGAAGCUCUCAGAAUCAGGAUGAUUGAUUUCCGACAUGGUAUUAGAGCCUCUUUGAUCUAGUACGGCAGAGCUUUAUAUUUCUUGCCUACCAUUCUUCUGACAAAAAGUUGAAUUUCCACACAAGGUACAUGAGCUUGUGCAUUGUCCAUUUUUCAAAGCUCAGGAGGUUCUCGUGCGAAGAGAAACAUUAGAGAAACGGUAUGGAAGUUAUCAUGUGUCUUUCAGCUAACAGUCGAAGUUCUUAGGUAUAGUAGCCUUACUGAAGGCAAGCAGGAAAAGAAUGAUACCUUUUGGCUUGUAGAAAAUAAGAACUUUGAAGUGACUAAAACCGGCUUAAGACAAAUAUGUGAAAAGGAAUCUAAAGUAUUUACCUUUGGAACUUCGAUAAGCUUAUGGUUGGAAUCUUUGCAGAAAUCUUCCACUCCUUCGUAACUCAACCAGCGAUCUCUCUGGCCCCAACAUACGGUGGUUCGAACGUUCCAACUUUUAUCCUUUAGUAUUGUUUGCAUAUCCUCCACAUACCUCUGAAGGAAAUUGAAACAAACAAACACCAAAUUUCUCAAAUCACAGAUAAAUAAAAGAUAAUAUUUUAUGUUAAUUACAAGCUUUUUUUUUGGCACGAGUCGAAACGACAAAACUGAAUCUCAGUGGAUCGUGGCACCGAGGCCACUAUGCCACUUACAAACAAGGUUGGGGAAACAUUUCAGGCAAUGCUUUGAAUUUCUAUAUAUUUUAGGAUAAAGAUAAAUAUUCACCUUGAGGUCUUUCUUCAUGGUCCUGGUAAUUGCAUUCAAUGCAAAGCCUGAGGACCCUGAUAUGAGAUAGGGUCUUCUAUAAACCAUUGCAUCUUCUUCUUUCAUUUUGUAGGGUCCACAGCUUGUCAGUGCUUUGUCACUGGCCCUCAAUGGAUCCUAAUCACUCACAAGAGAAUCAUUCACAUUAAAUGGAAUCUUUUGGUUGUGUAUUAAACUUGAAAAAUAUUUAUGAUCAUUAUAUACCUGUGAAAAUAUUUCACCUAACAGAAAGUUGCUGAAUAUGGACAAUGUAGGUGGAAGUUUGGCAUGUUGGGCUGUUAACUUAUAAAAUAAGAAAGAGAAUUCAAGUUAUUAAUCAUAAACUGAAUGUAAUUAAUCACGUAUUUAAACUUAAUUAACCAUGUCAAAAUUUGUGUCAAAAUUACACAACUAAAAAAUAAACAUACAGGUGGAUUAAUGAGUAUCAAGUUGUUAAUCUUCUCCUGGUGUUUGCUGGCAUACUUAACGACAACUGGUGCAAAAUAUCCCUGCAAACAAACAAGACUAAGGCUAUGUCAAAGAAGAGAUUACUUUAACUAGUAGAUCCAUGAUUCUUAUUAGCAAAUGGAAACUUACUUGAACAACAAGUGAGACUUUGGUAACAGCUAACUCAUCAAUAAGUGACUCCAAUGAUGACACAUAUUCUGCAUGGUAGAAGAAAAAUAAAUCAUUUCAGUUUCUCAUGAUUCUUUCAUAUUUUCUUUUUCAAAACUAAGAAACCUUAGUAAACAAAAUAGAUUCUAGAGGUGUAGAAUUUUUUUUCACUAUGAAACGAAACACACAAGCAAUUACCAUCAAGGGUGUAGUCAAACCCAUAUUUGGGUUGAGGCUUAUCAGAAAACCCAAAUCCUGAAAUAGAAAAAGAAAAUGGAGUGAAAAAUUAAACUCAUCACUCACAAACUGAACCACAGCUCUACUAACUUUGAGGUAAAUGAAAGCUUAAUAACCAAGGAAACUAUAGUAUCCCAAAAAUAACAUUAACAAACUAAAGUUGGCCCUCAAUAUCUGUUCUGAAAGAUUUCAUUCACUGAAAGUAUUCUACAAAAUUCUAUGCUUCUAAAGGCAUCCAUUAAUUUGGUUUAUAUCAAUUAAAAGCCAUAAAGUAAGCAUUGACACAAAGCAUAGUUGAAUAUGUCACAAAACAUAACUCCAACAAAUAAAAUAGAACAAGUUAUUCUCUCAAAAAAAAAAACAAAUAGAACAAGUUAUAGUAUAUAUAUCCAAUAACAACAUUAUGAUCUUACCUAGCCAAUCAAAUGUUACGGCACGAUAGUCCUUGGAGAGUACCGGAAGAACUUUGCGAUAAGAAUAUGCCUAUGCAGCAACAUAGAAAUCAUGUUAAUUGUGAUUGAUCAUAUAUUAAUAUGCCUAGGGAGAAACAAAUGAAACUCACUUGUGAAGGGAAACCAUGGAUUAAUAUCACUGAAGGAUUAUCAACACUUCCGCGUUCAACACAAAACCAUCUAUUGAAUAAAAUCAUAUUUGCAUAAUAUAAUUCAAUUAGUAACUUAGGAAUAAAGUAAAGUGCAGAAGCUAAAACUGACUCUUAAUUAAGUCUUUUAACAUUACAUAUUAGUGUCAAGUUUAACUUCAACUGAGAUAAUAACCGCAAUUUUUCCUAUGUCAAUUUUUUCUUAAUUUGUUAUGUGUUCUUCUAAUUUGACGAUAGAAAAUCAUUGAAAUAAUGAUACAUUUAGUUUAAUUACCUGAAACGAUCGCCGGUAGCUUGAGAACUAGUACCCAUUGUUAGCCCAAAAAUUGGAUCUUUUGCUUUUUCACCAGUUCCAGGAAUUGAAUAGGCUUUAACCUAAUCAUAUCAACAAAAAAAUUGGAAAAAAAAAUCAUAUAAUAGUAUUCAAAAUUGCAACAUUCUAACCUCAACUUAAUGAAGUUCAAAUAAUGAAAGGAAUUACAUUCUCUGUAUCAUAGUGUUGUUACUUUACACUUCUCAAUCAAUUUGCUCAUGCUUUAUCAUAAUAUAUUUUUCAAAGUAAUAAAAAAUAUACUAUACUUCAUCAUUUGAAUAUAUAAAGUGAAUUCUUAGUUCUAUAUCAUUCCAGUCUACAAGCAUUAUCACUUAGGUCCUUGGAAAGAUUUUGUCACCAGGUUAGUGCCACAAUCACAAGCAUGCUAACAAAAAAAUUUCAAGGCAAAAAAAGUGUCACAUUGCUACUAGACAUGAGUCAAACCCCUUCUAACUAUUGUUCAAGAUAACUCGAGUUCAAAUUCUAGCUAAAACAAUUGUUAACUCGAGUUCAAAUCCUAGCUAAAACAAUUGUUGGUCAAACUUUUGAUAGCAAAUAAGAAAUGGAUGAAAAAUGAUGAUUACCAUUUUCCCUUGCUUAAACCAUUCAUCACUUGGAUUAGGUCCAUCUGAAUAUUUUCCUGUUAGAAGAUUCCAAUAAUAUCUCAGAAUUACAGAAAAGUACUUUAUCCAACAAAUCUAUGAUCCAAAAAAGAGUUGCUAGGUACCAACCUCCACUGAAAGAGAAACCAUCACCAACAGAAAUAGGAGCAUCCAGAAGAUAAUCAUCCUGCAGCAUUGGAAACAAAGUAUCAAGAGGUAAAGCUGAUAAAUACAAGCCAUUAACACUAAGACACAAACUUUGUCUCCAUUUGAAGUACUACAGUUCAGCUUCAGUGUCUUCCUUGAAGGGAAACGCUUUGUGGAACAAGAUUGAAGGUGAGAAUGGAAGUAACAAGAAGAAGAAGCAUGAAAAGCUUGAAUGGUCAUUGCAUGAAAGAAGAAGCAGUGGUUGGAUAGUGAAGAGGGAAAAAAGUAAAGUAGCUUAAGAGCUAACAGAACAGAAAAACCGUUAGUUAGUACUUUUGAUGCCAACUUAGGAAGGAAAAGAAACAUAUGAUGUUUUUUGUCCAUUUGGAAUGGAUAGGGAUUCUCUGGUCUCAAAAUUGCUUACAAAUACUAACUUGUAAAUUUCAAAAUAAGAAAAAUGAGACCAAUUUGCAAAUUUUAAAAAUUUAUAGGGGCUAAGUUGCAAAGUCCUAAGAAUUAAAUUAAAAUAGACUAAUGUCUAAACUUUUGAAAUAUAUACAAAAACUGAAAUACACUCUUAGGAGGUGUGAGUAUCAAAAUAAGGGGGUGUGAAAUAGAAUUAGCAGCAAGAAAGAGCUUUGAAUGAGAAGCCCCAAAACCCAUCUUGUUCAUAUCCUAUCUAUCAAAAAACAGUUCGUUCGUUCUGUUUUUGUUGAGAAUUCAGUCAGAAAUGGCGUUACAGUUUGUGAAGCAGAACCAGUUACGAGGUUUACAAAGCGAGACAACCUUAACUUUCUUUUCUUUGUUACGAAAUCUUGAACUCCCAGGAACAGGUUCUGUCUCUCUCAUAUUUCCAUUCUGUUUUUUUUUCCUCAAUAAACCCUCAAAUAAAUAUUAUUAUUUGCCAAAAAAAAACCAAUUUUUUAUGUUGUUUACUCUAUAUUGAACUGUGUGUUGUGCAUUGAAACAUUGUUGUUGAUGUUGUUGUUUUUCAUGGAAAUUGAUUUUAGUGAGAUGGGUGAGUGGUCAAAUACCAGGUAGAAGAGGUUCCUUUAGAAGCUAUGCUACUGCAAAACCAGAAAAGAUUAUACCAAUCAAGAAGUAAGAUUUCAUUGUUUCUUCAAAGCUCGUCAUUGAGUAUCUUCAUUACUAUGUAAUAUUUUUAUUAUUGCGUCGUUGGUCGAAUCAAAAUCAUAUGAUGAUAUGUCAUGUAUGUUAUCAGCUUUGUCAAUAGCAGAUAUAGUAGAAAAUUGCAGUUUGUUAAAAUUUUGCUACACUAUAGAGUUUUAGUACCGUAUAUGCACUAUUACUUUGUACCUAUGAAGCACCUCGGAUUGUGUCCCGGUAUCGGACACGUGUCGUGUCCGACACAGACACGACACCGACACUUGUAAUUACACUAAAUUAUGUGAUUUUUUCAAAUUAUUAGGUGUGUCGACGUGUCGGUAUCCGUGUCGUGUCCAGUGUCCGUGUCCGUAUCCAUGCUUCAUAGCUUUGUACUAAAGAAUGUAUCGUUCAACAAUAGUGAAUUGUACGAGUUCCGCAACGCAAUAGUGCUGCUAUAAUUGGUGGCAAUGCUGCCAUUCUUGAAUUUUUUUAUUGGCUUGGUGGUAAUGGUAACAUUAUGUCAUGGUAGUAGUGCUUUGGGUGAGGAUAAUGAUAUACCUUUCAAGUCAAGAGCAUGAAAAGUUCUGCAUUUUAUUGUUGAAGGAUGAUAAAUCACUGUAUAUUCAAAAAGAUUUUUUUUUACCUCAGGGUCUUUGAACAAGCCAGUUUAAAUGACUAUUGAUAUGUUUUUUAAACAUUUUAGAUGUUUAAAUUUAAUGCUUUACGGGCAUCUAUUUUUACAGAGACCGUUUUAGAUAUGUUUAAGGCUUAACACAGAGGAAUUACACUGUAUAGCAGGCAUUUAACUAGUACAUUAAGGGUUAAGCUUUUUGCAUUAUUCUCUUGAAGGAAAAAAGGAAGUUCAAUCUUAUUAAAUGUGCAAUUUUAGGUUCUAUUGUCAAUUUGUCAGAGAGAAAGUCCAAAGUCACACACUUAUUUAACACGUGGAGUAUUCCAUCAUUCAAUUUGUUCCUUCUACUAAUUAAUCAUUCACCACUCCCUUUGAAAGAAAAUUACUGAUAACACUGAACUACUUUGUUUAUUUUUGUGCAUUCGCCUUUUAGGAAAAAGAGACUUGAUGAAGUAUGCCUUGAACAAUAUCAGCAAUAUAGUAGAUCCAUCAUCCAGUCAUGGAUUUUGCAAGGUAACUCAUUUUACUUUUUUAUUUCCAAUUUAGUAUGUAGAUAUUGUCUUGAGCUCGCAUUGAUUAUAGUAAGGUCAUUCCUGUUGUUGAUAUGCAAAGAAAUUGAACAGUGUCUGCAUUCUUGAACUGAUUUCAUUGUCGUUUUACUUUUGUUUUUCUAUUUGUGAGGAUUUCUUAUCUUCCUGAUUGUAUUCUCUCUCUUUUUUUUCAUAUUUAUCAUAACAUAUUUAUUUGAUGAUAAAUGUUUUCACACCCUUGUAUCCUCUUUUGUUGCUGAAUUAACAAUGCUAGCUGCUACUGUCAAAUAAUAGUAAUGUUAUCGUCUAUUGCAUGUUCUCUUUUGUGGUUAGAAAACGUUAGAGAUCAUGAUCUAGCCUGUGGGAGCUAGAGUAUUGGGAUCUUGAGGGGAAAAAUAAUGUUUAUUGACAUUUCUACUGUUAGUCAUUUGACCAAAUCUUCCAAAUUAGUGAAAUCAACGUUGAGGCUGUUAGCUUGAGGUUAUAUAUAAAACACAAUUCAAAAUACUACAUAAUAUUUAGAACCAUAUUUUUUUCUCCAUGAUUAUCUUCAUGCUGUAUAUAAUCAUUUCUGGAUCCAAUACACUCCAUUUGUAUGUAUGUGAAUAGUUAUAUAAUCACAACAUAUGUAAUGCAGGAAAGGUAUAUGUGAAUGGGAAGAGAAUAUAUAAAGCUGGUACACCUGUGUCUGACAAAUCUGUUGUGGAGAUAAAAGCUGAAGUUCCCAAAUAUGUAUGUAGGUGAAGUCACCAAUCUCUGUUUGCUUGAAAUGAUAUCUCAACGGCAACUUUGAUGAAACUGCAUUGUUGUUUGGAUUUUUUAUAUCGACACAGAGCUGGACAUAAGUUGGAAGGUGCCAUUGAACAGCUCGGUGUUGAUGUUGCUGGUAAAGUGGCUCUUGAUUCUGGGCUGUCAACUGGAGGAUUUACUGACUGCUUACUUCAGUAUGGUGCAUCACAUGUUUAUGGCGUUGAUGUAGGUUACGGACAGGUAACUUAUUAAACAUUACUUUAUUUUUUGGGUUACUCUGGAUGUGCAACAUAUAUAGUUAUGCCUUAAAGGCUUAAAGUUAUUCAGUGCUUUACUUUUUGUUUCAUUGUCCUUUUAUUUGGGAUUAAGUACUUUACGUAGACUUUCUUCUGGUUUCUUGCAUUUAUAUGGAAUAGUAUAUAUAAACGCACAUCUCUAUAGAGAUAUCAGAAGUUGAAGGUGGUAAAAUUGUCUUUCUCAAAACAUGUGUAUUAUUAAUCCUGUGAGUAGGACUGGUUGCCUUAAUAUAUUAUCAUUAAAUUAUUCUUAAUAUCAAUUCAUAAAUUUCCAGAAUUUCUAGCCAUAAAUUUCUCCUUUGAAAGUUUUUUGGGAUUCUCUUUUAAAGAUUUUUACUUUUAACGGCCAAACACCUUAUUGUUGCAGAAUGCAGAUGCAAAUAAAAACCAAAUGUAGUGUUUCAGCAGUUAAAUAAUAUGCGCAUAUAGAGAUUGUUUAUUAAUAACAUAUUUCAUGUUUUUUUAUGGUUAAGGGGAUUAGUUGUUACUCUAGACUUCCUGCUGAAUCAAUAUGAUCUAUUUGAUAAAACAUACAGGGAAAAGAUUUUUAUUUCAUUGAAAUGUAAUCUGCAGAGGUGUUACUUUUGAGUAAAAUAAAGCAUAUAUUCUACUCUACGUAUACGGUUCAUUGUUCAUACCAUAUAUAUAUAUAUAUAAAUAGACACACACACACACACACUUUGGAAUAUGAGGUUCUUUUAAACUUCUACAGUAAUGUCUUUAAAAUAAUUUGGGAACUUUUUUGCUAGUUCAGUGAACUCAACUAAAUAAUAUAUCUUACUUUAGAGUUCUAUUGAGUCUGUUUCAUAUUUUUUUAGACGAUUUGAUAUUCUAUUAUCUUUUUGUUACAGUGUUUCCCUAAUUAUAUUGCUUUAUUGAACAUCUGCAGUUGUUCAGUGAUUCUCUAAUAGUAAUGAUUGUUAACUUAUCUAGGUAGCAGACAAAAUUCAAAGAGAUGAACGUGUAACUAUUAUAGAGCGGACAAAUUUAAGAUAUAUCAAAGAACUCCCACAAAAUGUUGAUUUGGUGACCCUAGAUCUCUCAUUCAUCUCUAUUCUAACGGUACGCUCUUUAAUCAGGUUAAACAUAGUCAUAUACUCAUGUUCGCUUGUGAAUCUUUUCUCCUGAUCUGUGCAUAACACAUGAGACGUUUAUGAAAAUUGUAUUGGACUUGCCAACUUAAACAUCACUAGUCCAUUUACAAUCUUAUUCAUUUUUGGAUAUUAUAUUAUAUAUUUAAUAUUUAACAAGUUCAAUGUUUUACAAUUGGUCAUUAAGCAACUAGAGAAAGAUAAUGAGAGGAAACACUUGAGAUUAUUUUCAUAAUCUGAGUUACCUGUCUGUAUCAAUUAUAAUUUGCCUUCCUAAUCAACUAAAUAUUCUUAUAUUCUGUUAACAGGUCAUGCCUGCUGUGGUAAAUGUUAUGAAGGAAGAUGCUGCAUUAGUGACCUUGGUUAAACCACAAUUUGAAGCUCGGAGAUCUCAAGUAAAGAAUAUGAAUCACAUUAUGUCUUUUUUUGUUUGUUUUGAUAUUCCAGUGCUAAUAUACAGUUAAAUACUACCUACUUGGUCUAUAUGUUAUCAUUAAAAUGGAGUCGGUAUAAAUAUAUUAUCUAUUUCGAUGCAAGCAGGAUUUUUUUAAUUAUAAAAUAAUCAUCACUUCAUCUCCGUUUCCUGAAAAUAAAGAGGAAACUAAAUAUCAUGUCUAAAUUUGCAAUUCCAUUGUCUGUGCAGGUAGGAAAGGGAGGGAUAGUGAAAGAUCCUGCUGUCCAUCAAGAGGUGGGUGGUAUUUUGCUAUCUGAACUUGUUUGUUGUCAACUUGUUCCAAAAAUCAUUUGGUGAAAUAAAACUAAUUACUACCUCCGUUCCUUUUUAUAAGCACCAUUUUGCGCUCUACAACAUUGACUUAUAAUUAGGGACAGAGGUAGCAAUGACAAGUGAUAUGUGUCUUGCCUUCAACUUUUCCCUCUUUAAAAUCCAAUUAAGUUGAAACAAUGCUUCACACCUUGUAUAAUGGUUUCUGCUUUUGGCGUUUUAAGCAAGGCUCUCAGAUUGUCCUACAAAGGGUAUGGAAAACUUUGCUAAGCUAAAAAUGUGAUUGAUUUCUGCAAUUCAGGUUCUCGAGAAGAUUACAAAGGGAGUGGAGAGUUUUGGUUUCUGCAGCAAAGGUUGGAUUGAGUCUCCUCUCAAAGGUGCCGAGGGUAAUACAGAAUUCCUUGUUCACUUCACCAGAAUCCAUAACAAAGGUGUUGAAAAUCAUGAAGAAAUUAGUGAAGAAAUUUAGCUUGAUGAUGCAUUUCUUCAACCUUCAGAGAAGAUUGUUCUUUUGGAAGAUGUAGCAGGUGGGAGAGAUGUAUUCCUGUAUAGUAAUGAGUUGUUGGUGCCAUUGAACGGUAGUGGUGAAUUUUUGUAUGUACCAUUAAACCAAAUGACUCAUUAUUAGUUAAAGAAAGCAAUGUUGAAUUUUGGAUUUUUGAAAUUUGAUUUCAACCAUAUCAUCAUGAUUUGAUAGCCGAAUAUUUGCUCGAUUUCGUUCUUGUUUGUAGUUGUUGUAUUAAAAUUCUUUUAAACUUUCCCUCGUCUAUGUUCAAAGGAAAAACUGUUGAGAGCUUGGCUCAUACUGCAGAAUGUGUUAUAAGUGCAAUUUUAAUUGAAAGAUCUUUUUUCUUUUUUGGUACAAUAAUUGAAAGAUAUUUAAUACAUAAAGGAAUCUCAAAUGUAAAUACACAAAAGGAAAAUUGCUUGAAUUCAAUUAAAUGUGCAAAACCAAAGGUAUUUAAGGUAUAAAAAAACAGCUAAUAUACAUUAUGUUCUUUAGAAUGAUGUGUUGAACCAAUCUGCAUUUAAUUGAGAAAUAUACAAAGAUACCAAUGGUAUCAAAAGGAGCUAAUAUGAAAGGAUUUCUAAGAAUAUAUUACAGAUGUGUUGAACUAAGCUGCAUUUAAUUGUAUAUAGAUAUCCUUUCAAAAAAAUAUAUGUAUACAGAUAUGACAAACGUUAAUAUUUCAUGCAAAUGUAGAAGGGUGAGUGAACAUUCCAAUCAUUUCUAAUCGAAACAUGUCUUGAACUCAACUUCGCAAGUUUUUCUCCAGCAACUUUCUACCAUUUACAACUGCAAACACACCCCUUCCUUCCUCCAUCACAUCUAAUGUUAGGACAACAUAAAUCGGUUGCAAAGAAGUUUUUUCUUAGUUCCGUAAUUUCAUUUUAGAUUAAGCACGUGUAUGAACGUCUAAGAAUCAUUUGAAACUACGUUGUCCAGAAU